AUAACCAUCCUAAGCCUCAGUCCACCAGAAGAUCAUCUUCUUCUUCCACAUUUCAUUCAGCUGUGUUUAAUGCCGGCCUUGAUCAUCAUGGUUCUUCUGAUCAACCCAAUUCCAAUAAUAGCUUCCAUCACUCUGAUUCCUUUGCAAUCCAACAAGAGGAUAAUACUACUUCUGGUUCUAUUGGAGACGAUGAGUUUGAGCGAGGCUCAUCGGUUAUCAGCAGAGAAGAAGAAGAUUGUGGCAGUGAACCUGAAGCAAAGAGAUGGUAAGAUCAUCCAUCAAUGUCUAAAUUCGUCACUCUUUAAACAACCUAGAAUGAGAAAGUUUCUAACAUUCUUAAUGUUUGUUUUUUUGUGUGUUUUAGGAAAGGAGAACAUGAAACAAACGGUGGGAAUGGUAAUGGAAGUAAGACAGUGAGAGAGCCAAGAAUUGUCGUGCAGACAACAAGUGACAUCGACAUUCUUGAUGAUGGUUACAGAUGGAGAAAAUACGGCCAAAAGGUCGUCAAGGGAAACCCAAAUCCAAGGUAAUAACAUAAAGAUUUGAACUUCUCACUAAUUACAAUUAAUCAAGGCUCUAAGAAUCUAACAUUUGAUGUUUCUUUUGACUUGAUGAAUCUAACAGAAGCUACUACAAGUGCACAACCAUCGGUUGCCCCGUGAGAAAACAUGUUGAGAGAGCAUCACACGAUCUGAGAGCGGUAAUAACAACCUACGAAGGGAAACAUAACCACGACGUACCUGCAGCUCGUGGUAGCGGUUACGCCACAAACAGACCGUCACAGGAUUCUUCUUCAGCCCCAAUUAGACCAGCUGCUAUUGCUGGUCACUCCAAUUACACUACUUCUUCUCAAGCACCAUAUACGCUUCAGAUGCUGCAGAACAACACUAAUUCCGGGAGUUUUGGUUACGCUAUGAACAAUAAUAACAACAACCUUCAAACGCAACAAAACUUUGGUGGUGGUGGUGGGUUCUCUAGAGCAAAGGAAGAACCAAACGAGGAGUCCUCGUUUUUUGAUUCGUUUUUGUCGUGAAGAAGAACCUAUCUUUCCUUUUGUACAUUUCUGCCAGAAAAGGGUUUAUCUACUUACUAGUAAUCCUGCAGAUACUAAGACUAUAGGCUAUAGUCCAUAGAGAAAUUAUUUCAUUUGUUUUUUUUCCGUGGCUCUUGCGAGCUUUCACACGCCUGUAAUAUCUUUACUGUUUUUGUACCAUACAAGUAGAAAAAUGGAAUAAAGCCAGUCAAUUUUCACAUGUUUUCACUUUGUAUAAUAAUGUAUCAAAAGAAUAACACACACACAGUUCAAAGACGCGAAUAACAGAAGCAGUACUGUCUUGAUCAGUAUCAGCUAUAUGAACACAUAUAAAAGAAUGAGAUUUACACGUAUUGCAGAGAUGACCACGGUAUAAAAACGAUUGAAAGCACAUAUUGCAGAGAGAGGCUUGAAGCGGAUUCAGAUAAAAGAAUGAGUGGAGAGUUUGUAACCAGAGAGGAGAGCAGAGAGAGCUAAAGAGACGAAGGCGAAGAUAGCCAUGCUGAUAGCUGAAGCAGCGGAAUCAGUGAAUAUGUUAUCUUGACCUUCUCUGAAUCUGUUGGUCAAUGGAAUUGCAGAAGACGCAGCUGAUAUGAGAAGAUACGCAACAAUCUGCAAUUACAAAAAAAACAAAACUUUUUAACUGUUUUACGAAAAAGUGAUCCUCUUUUCAAUUUCUUUACAGUUUCGGUAUCUUCGUUACCUGGUCGCCGGAGAAAUCGAGCAAGAUGGAAGUCCGGCGAUCGAAGAAUUCCCUUUUCGAGAAAUGAGCAAACGUUUGCCACGCAGUGUAUAAUGUUGAAAUUAUCGCAAUCGCCAAUACAUAUCUGAAGAAAAUAAAAAAACUUGAGAGUCGAAAAAUGAGAAAUCUCAAAACUUUAACAGAAAUUCCCCGUGAAUUUCAAAACCCAAGUAUCAAAAUCGAUCAUUUCUGUAUCGGAAUUAAUGGAAUCGGACCUGUACUCUUCGUAAUCGUCGAAGUUUCGGCCGUAUCCAUGUUUAUUAGAUACCAUAAUAAUGAAUGCAAGGAGAGAGAACAAGAGACACACUCCUCUCAUAAUCGGAGACGCUUUCUUUAUCAAAUCCUCCCUUUUCCAUCUCUGAGUAAUCGCAGAAAACGACGACGUCUUAGUCUCCGUCGUCUCCGCCGGUGCCUCCACGUCGGCGGCAACUUCAACCGGUUUCUGGUUAUCGGGAUUUGUCAUGCCGAGAAUUCUCCGAUAGAUCUCAAAACUCCGAUCGGAAUCGGUUUGCUUUCAGUUCUUAUGAAUGCGAAGAAUCGGGAGAAGGGAUAACAAACUUGGAAGAAAAGAAAACUCCAAAUUUUUUGGUUGUAAAAAUAUGAUUUAAGGUUUGGGGUUUUAUUAAGCUAAAUGAGGAAAGCGCGUAACGGCGGGAGUGAUUAAGUUAAUGAAAGUGAUUAAACAGUUUAUGAAGCGCACGGCGCGUAACAAAAAGAUUCAUUUACAAAGCGUAUAAGUUAGUCGUGGCCUGCAUUUACAGACAGCGAAUCCUAGGAAUCUCAUUGGCGGACUAAAAAAUAAAAAUAAAAAAUUCGGUUAAACUUUGUUUUCCCAAUAAAAAAUCCUGACUCUUCUAAAGACUGAAGAGAAACAUAAAAUCCGUGUAAAAGAAGAAAAAUCGUUGUGUUUAAUUAGGGACGUUAAAGAAUAAUUAUAUUUACCAUGAAUUUGUUUGGAGAGUAUUUUCUAGAAACAUUGAAUAUUUGUCGUUUUAUUGUAAGUUUGAUGAAUACGGUGAUUAUCAUUAACUCAUCCUAUAAAUAUCAAGCCAUAUGUAAUUUGAGAAGUUGUGAUGCAUGUUACAUAAAUUUCAUGCAAAGAAGAAUUCGUGUUCCACAAGUUCAAGAAAUAUAUAGUUUAGAAAGUUUUAGGGUCUUUAUGACCAUAAAAAAGUUAUAGGGUCUUUAGAUAAAUUAUUAUAGGCUGUCAUUUGUUUCUUUUUUUGUUUUUGUUUUGGUUAAAACACUAAGUUUUUCUUCAUGACGAUUAUCUCUUUGGUCGUAUCUCGAAUCAAACUCGAUUUUAAGAUUGUAAACCUAGUAAAUCAGAUAUAGUGUACUAUAGAAUUAAGAUUUUGUGCGGACGUUGCAUGAUAAAUUCAUAGAUUAUCAAUGUUGUUUUAGAAAUAGAUUUAUGCUAACAUUCUGUACUUUCAAGAAGAAUUCGAUCAGGAAGAUCGUUAUAUAUACAAGCUUUCAAAACUACGAUAUAAUUCUAAUUUACUAAUUACAAGAAAGCACAAGUUUAGUUUAGCAAAAAAAAAAAGAAAAGAAAGCACAAGUCGUAUGUUUUGUUGGUUUGUCAAUGAUAGAUGAACUUCUCGCAUACUUAAAAACAAAGCAAACAAAAAAAACUACUUUACGGGGGAGAUUAGUUAUUUCGAAACUCAAGACAGUAGGUCAGGGUUAUAAUAGUUCAACAAAGUUUACAACAAGUGGAGUUCUCAAUUUUUAAGGAAGUUUAAUGAUGGAUAACAUCGUGUCCUGGACUCCUGGUUACGUUUUGAAUACAAGACCUUGACUAAGUCUACCACACUCUUGUAGUCUUCAGUAUGUUGUUUCAGAAUAUUGUUAACGACUUGGAGAACUUUAGAACUCGGCUUAGACCAAAAAAAAAAAACUUUAGAACUCGGCGUGUCAGAUUUUGCAUUGACCACCAUUAGAUAUGCUUAUCAGCAGGCAUCACAUCGAUUUGUGGCAUUGUAAGAUGUUUGAAAUUUUAAUUUAAUGUAAAUUCAUUUUACCAAACAUAAUUUAACUUUGAUUAAUUCUUAAAGAGCGUAAUUGUUUUUCAAUGCCAUAUGUGUGAUAACCUACAAAGUCUUUCAUAUUUUUUAUUAUUAAAUGCUCCAUUAUUUAAUUUAAAGGAACAUUAAGUCGGAAAAAUCAACCUUCUUACACAAAUAACAAAGGAAAAAUCUUACGUCAAUUUAUAUCUUAUCUCAUAAUAUUUUUUAAUAUAUAUAUAUAUAUAUAAUGUUCAACCAAAAAAAUAUAAAAUAUAAAUUAAUCCUGUCUUUGGCUUAUACCGAUAACAUGCAUGUAAUAUUAAAUUUGAGCUAAGGUGAAUGUUAUAAUUUGAUGUAGCUUGUAGUAAAAAAAAUUAAAGAAAUUUAUUGUUUCUUUCCUCUUAAAUCACACGAUAUAAUUUUAAAAACUGGACUAAUUUUUAUUCUUAUAAUUAGAUAUAAAAAAGCAAAAAUCAACUCAACCUUUCAUACAUAUGGUUUUCUAUAAUGCUGAAUUAACUUUUGAAUUAUCAAGUUUAUAAAAAAAAUACAUAAUUCAAAACUGUAAACUAGCCAUCACACAUUAUAACACAAAUUUAAUGAUUGAUAACAUUUUCUUACAUCAAUAAGUCAAAUUAAAUUAAAGAUAUCACAUGCUAUGCUAUUAAUCACACCCUUUAUUUACUGUAUCUCGACAUAUGUCAUAUGUAAGUUAUUGCAGAAAAUAUAUAUUAAAUAAGGGAUAUUUUGAAAAAAAAUUAUGUAUUUGGAUAAACCUAAAACGAAGGGGGCGCAUCAAAGGCACCACCGACUAAAUAACAAUAGGUUUGGGAUCAUAUUAGACCCAGCCCCGAUUCACCGUCCGGUUCUCCUUUCUCUUCAUCGUCAUCAAUCUUUCGUUUUCCUGUUUACGGUUUCUUCGCUGCCAAGAAUCGAACGACGCGAAUUGGAUCCGAAUCUCAAAUCUGCACUCCAACUCCAAUCACGAGCCCUUUGCUUUUCCCCGAUUAUCUCCUUUUGAUAUCGGUAAGUUUCCUUGUCUCUCUCUGCCCACUAUCUCUCUUGAGUCGUUCACAUUGCACCGUGACUUAAUUCGAGCUCGCUCCCGAACUGGGUUUCCCUGGUUCUGGUCGCUAAUUGUAUAAAUCGAAUCGAUUUUUCCAUUUUUGAAUGUGGGCGGUCUUCAAUUUGAUUCGAUUGUUCGUGCAUUAGGUGUUUUGUUGAUUCUCCAAGCCCUAAAUUUUUGCUGAAGUUCUUUGAGCUGGGGCUAGUAUACUUCGAUGGUAUACAACCUGGAAGGGAGAAUAAGGUUAGGGUUUUCUGUCGUGAGCACAUCCCCUGAGUUUCCGAGUUUAGGGUUUUUUUUUUGGAAUUGAUUCGGUCUGCUAAGAAGAAGAAAAGGGUUGGUUUGAGAGGAUAAUGUGUAUAUUGUGUGUUAUUCAAAAGUGGUCUCGCCGGGUUGCAACGAUGCUGCCUUGGUUGGUUUUACCGUUGAUUGGACUAUGGGCUCUGUCUCAGCUUCUUCCACCAGCUUUUCGUUUCGAAAUAACUUCUCCGAGGCUAGCUUGUGUAUUUGUGCUUUUGGUUACUUUGUUCUGGUACGAGGUCUUGAUGCCUCAGCUAUCUACUUGGCGGGUGCGGAGAAAUGCUCGUCUUAGGGAGAGAAAGCGAUUUGAAGCUAUGGAGCUGCAAAAGCUAAAGAAAACCGCUACACGGCGUUGCCGUAACUGCUCAACACCUUACCGUGACCAGAAUCCAGGUGGUGGACGGUUUAUGUGCUCAUAUUGUGGGCAUAUAUCUAAGAGGCCUGUUUUAGACAUACCUGUGCCUCCAGGGUUAGGGCUUUCUGGUUCUGGAAUUUUGAAGGAUCUUGUUGGAAGAGGUGGUAAGAUGUUGAAUGGAAAGGGAUGGAAUGAGAAUGGAUGGAUGCACGGGCCAGAAUGGUCAGAAAACAGCACAUGGACUAGCGAGUCAACCUAUUGGCGGAAUAAUAGUGGUAGUACAUUUGGAGAAGAUGAGAAUUGUUUGGGGGAUAGAUCAUAUCCUGGUGGCGUUGUUUUUGCUUGCCGACUCCUUACUUCUUUUUUUAUGAGCAUUAGGUGGCUUUGGAGAAAGAUUUUUAGCUUUAGCUCUUCGGUUGAUGAGUCGUCAACUGAUGCUGACCAGAGGCGAUUACUGUCGAGACAGGGUGAGAAUGGGACCAGCUAUCAUGAGAGCAGGGUUGAGAAAGCACGCAGAAAAGCUGAGGAGAAAAGACAAGCUAGGCUGGAAAAGGAGCAUUUGGAGGAAGAAGAGAGAAAACAACGAGAGGAAGUCGCGAGACUAGUGGAGGAACGGAGGAAGUUGAGAGAUGAAAAAAUUGAAGCCGAGAAAUGCAGCAAAUCAUCACCUGGUUCCAAGGAAAAGGAUAUUAAAAAAGAGGCAGAAAAGAAGCGCCAGGAGAGGAAGAAGGAAAAAGAUAAGACCUCUAGUAAGAGCAAUUCCGAUGCAGAAGAGCUUGACAAGAGAAUAGGAAAGGAAACUGAGCAUAAGCGUGAGCUUGAUAAGAAUAAUCAUUCCGAACAUCAGAGGCAUGCGUCUGAUAAUUCCAGGAGCCCCAUGGAAAGGAGACAUGGGCACGGGGUAGAUAAUAAUGGUACUAGUAACACUAACACGACAGGAGCUGGCGGUAGGUACUUUGAUCGAGUGAAGGGUACGUUCUUCUCUUCUUCUAAGGCUUUUACAGAUAACCGGUUCUUUGGAAGAGGUGUCAAUAUGUCUGCUACAAUUGCAAAAGAGAAUAAGCCCAUCGGCUCUACAGAUCAUUCUCAUGCAUCUGCUCAUACGAGGCAUAUUAAUCCUCCUGAAUUUGUGGCUGGAAAAUCUGGUUCAAAUGGAGGAGAAAGGAAUACUAAUCGUCCUGUAAGUGUUCUUGCCAAAUUGCUUAUGUCAUUAUGAUCCGGUUCAUGAAAGCAGUCUACUUUUUUGCAGUUAUAAAUCACCCGUCUCUUUUGAUUUCAUCUAUUUUUUGUUUGUUAAGUUGAUAAGUUUGUCAUAUAAUUUUCCAAAGUCGUUAUGUUCUUGAAGUAUGUUCAACUUAGAUUUGGUUCUAGUUUUCUUCAGCUUGUUUUAUAAGGACACUGAUAAAUAUUAUGAUGUUCCCUCAGGUUAUUACUGAGCCGCAGCCAAGUGGAGAACCUAAAAAGUCAUGGCAGCAACUAUUCACCCGUUCGCCGUCUGUGCCUGCUUCCUCCAGUGUUAAUGUUAUAAGCCGACCUAGUACAAAGCCCAAAACCGUUCAGAAUUCACAGGCUCCUUGUCAAGAUCAUUCAAUACGAACCUUUGACAAUCCAAUCAGUUUUGGGCUCCCAUCACCAUUCACUAUGCCAACAUACUCUAGCGGAUCGACUAUCGGUAGCUUAGGUUUCUCAUCUGAAAGAGAUAUUGUUCUCUCUCAGGCUGGGGAAAAUGCUCGUCCUUUUAUCCCCGAAGAAGAGCAUUUUGAAGAUCCAUGUUAUGUUCCGGAUCCAAUAUCUCUACUGGGACCUAUUUCAGAAUCACUUGAUCUAAGAGCUAAGUUUGAAACUGGUGUUGGACUGGAAAAACCCCAUUUAUUGAAGAAAUCUCCGAUUGAGUCUCCCUUGUCAAGAUUACGAGUUGCAGAUGAAAAACAGGUUAAUGAUGGAAGCUGGCAAAUGUGGAAGACCACCUUUGGCCAAGACCUACUUCUACCUUCAGAUAAUACUAGACCUAACGAGGAGAAUGGCUUGCAUCAUGUGCCUCAUAAUAGGACGUCAUCAUUAUUUGCAAAAGAUGACCCUAUUCACAGUACUUAUUCACACAGGAAGGACUGUUUUGAAAAUGAUCAGAGAAGUGGCACGUUCAGCCCCGUUGCUGGUCCAAGCAAUCAUGAUCCUUGGUCGCAGAAAAUGUUUCUCCCAGCAUCAUCCGGCACAGAGAGUCUUUUGUCGCUAAGUCGACCAGAAGAACCAGGCCCGAACAAUGUUGCAUUCAUGAGUCCAACUGGGUUGGCUCCGGAGAAUCCAUUCGAACACGCUUCUCCGAAUCACUGGCUCAAGUAAGACUAGCUUCUUCUUGCUUUUUCCCUAGGCUAUAGAACAGCCUGUUUGAAUGGUUCUGUGACACACUGAGUUUCUGUCUGGAUCGCAUUGGUUAUAGAUUAGGUAGGUUGUUUAGAACUUGGCUACAUUUGGAACAAUGGCAAAGAAGUGUAAUGAUUUUGGGUAUUGUUAAUAAUGUGCAGGAAAGUGAAGAAGACUGGGGAUGGGACUGGUAGGCAAUUUGUGGAGGGUCAAUUCCUAAACCAAGAUGUACCGUCGUUUUGGUAGUCAGAAAUUCAAGAAAGAAACAAAAAAACAAAAACAAAAGAAAAAACAUUAAAGAUCAUUUUGGGACACAACUUUUGCAGAUAUACCUCGUCUGUCUUUGUCCUCUGGUUUUCAUCAAUCUAAGAUUUUAAGUUUUUACCUAAAAAAGACGGUUAGCUUCGAUAGACUUACACAGAGGCGGACCCAUGCCUUCCCUAAUGCCACAUUUUUAAUAUUUAGAUCUAGAAAAUAACAAAAACAAUAAGUUUCAAAAUCAUAUUUAAGUAGUAAGAUCUACUUUUAUUUCGUAAUUGGUUCAAUCUAUCUUUUUAUUAUGUAUUAGAACUAGAUGUUUUUAUAUAUCAAAGUAUAAUCUAACAACAUUUUUAUGACGAAAUCAUAAACCAAAAUCAAACAAAAUAAUGAAAAUAAAUGCAUAGCCAUAAUAAUAGUUACAAUAUUUAAUUACACCAGAAUAAAGAUUUUGUGAUAACAAAAACGUUAUUACGGUUUUUAACAAGGUCGACAUCCUUAUACCAAUUAUACUCAUGAUGGUGUCAUGCAAACCUUUCAUUUGCUCUUCCAUCGAUUAGUUCAUGUGGAAGAUGUCAACCGCAAUAAUCAUCACUACAACUAUAUAUCAUUAGUAGUUUCUUCUUCUUCUUCACCAUAAAUACGAUACUCUCAUUAUCUCAUAUCCUCUACCAACAUGAAAAAUCACAUUAAUAGAACUGUGAAGUGCCAUCAUCGCUAUAACAAACUUCAUCUCUUCAUGUAAACUAUAUUUUAUAUGAUUAUCUGUUAUUUUGCUUUAUAUAUAUCUCAAUACAUGCACUUUUUAACAGUUUGCGUGGAGCUUGUUCUUUUCGUCUCAAAUAAUGGUAUAUGUGACACGUCUAUUCUCCUUGUCCAAACAGUAUUCUAUUGGUCUUUCUGAACGUCUUGGCAUGUUUUAUGGGGUUAUGAUGGCGUCUAAGAAUAUGAUUAACAAGGAAGUCAAAUAUUUUGAUCUACACGGAGAUUUUUUUUUUUUUGGUAAAAUCCUAGAAGGAGAUUUAUGCUCUCAAAAUAACGAAACAAGGAGAUUCAUAGGUUUAUCGAAGUAGCGGCAACGAUUUGAUCCAUGGUUCUAUCAGAAACUUUCAUAGCUUAGUUAAAACAACCUCAAUAGCUCAAUACAAGACCACAACCCAAAUGUAAUUGGUCCCCAAAAAAAAGACCUCACCCAAAUGCUCUUCCGAUUCCGAAACACAAUGCAGUAACGAUAAAUAUUACAAACGGUGUUGCAUGUCCCUUACCAAAAAACAAAAGGCUCAAGUUUGCAAAACACACAGUCACACACACACACAAGACUACAGAUUUCAGAUCACAGUCUUAUUCAAAUUCUCUCCGAUGAAGAAAGCAAAUUGUUUUUUUGUUAAUUAAUAUUUUUCACGAAUUGAAACUAAAAAAUUGAAUCCUUGUUCGUGCUCUUCCUUUAUUCUUCUUGUCAUUUGUAUUUAUAUUUACAAAGAGGCUCUCUGCUUCAAUGUAAACCGAACCGGUUCACCCAUUAUGUUUCUGGAAUCCUCAAUGAAUUUUUAAAAAUUAAAACUGGUUCUCUUGCUCAACCGCUGAACCUCACGAAUGCAUUACGUUGGAAAUCUCCCGAGUAAAUUGGUUUUGUGUUGAAACCAUUUUACGGUUUAGUUAGGUACCCUAUAAACCGGUUGAUUGAUCAAACGACGAAGCUUUUGCCUUAGCUCGUCGGCCCAAACUAGGCCCACAUCUCUUUGCUUGUUCUUCAUCUCCACCAUCACUAAUUCGUCUGUUAAACGGCGAAUUUUGACUACGAUAUUAGCUACUCCCUUUGGCCCUUCCAGCUUUAUCGCUCUCUCCUUCUUCUUCGCAAUCCUCAGAUUCAACUGCUUCGCUACCUCCACGACCUUUCCCAUAAUCUCCGCCGGAAACUCGUCGGAGACGAACUGAUCGCAGUGAUCCGGCGUCACGAAGUUUCCGAACAGACCGGCGAGAUUCGCCGUUGACGCCGACGCGAUUAACUCGAAGGCGUUUAGUUGAUCCCCGUUUUCCUCCAGAUCGUAAUCGUCGGCUUGGAUCCCUAUGAUUUCACUCGGAUCUACUCCAUGAUUGAACCACGGAUCUUUGAGAAUCUCCUCGACGGUGAUCCGUUUUUCUGGAUCUGGCUCCAAUAGACGGCGGAGAAGCUGCCGGAGAUCUGAAGAAGUCCAAUCCGGCAUCCUGUAUUGAGCCUUGUGGAUUUUCCGGUAGAGUCCCAUGAUGUUAGGAUCUCGAAACGGCAAGUAACCGGCGUUGAGAAGGAACAAAACGACGCCGCACGACCAGAUAUCCGCCUUAGAUCCGUCGUAGCCUUUCUUCAGGAGAAGCUCCGGCGCAACGUAAGCCGGAGUUCCGCAGAGCGUGUGGAGCAUACCGUCGGCCUGGAUCUGCUCUCUCAUCGCACUGAGACCGAAGUCGGAGACCUUCAGAUCUCGAUUCUCGUCGAGGAGAAGAUUCUCCGGCUUCAAAUCGCGGUGGAAAACACCCCUGGCGUGACAAUACCUCACGGCGGAGAUCAACUGCCGGAAAUAUUUCCGGCUUAGACUCUCCGUGAAUCGAUUGCUGGUGACUCUGGAGAAGAGCUCACCGCCUUUGGCUAGCUCCAUGACGAAAUAGAUCUUCGUCUUGGUGGCGAGGACUUCGGAGAGGAGCACGAUAUGAGGAUGACGGAGACGGCGCAUGAUAGAUAUUUCUCGCUUAACGUGCGCCGUGAGCCCGUCUUUUAAACGCUUCUUUUGGACGACUUUGAUCGCAACGCUUUCGCCGUUAUUUUGAAGAUCCUCCGCCUGGUAGACUUUGGCAAACGCGCCGAUUCCGAGAAGCUUCCCGAGAUUGUACUUACCGAACAACGCCGAUUGGUUAUCAUCUCCGACGAGGUUAACGAUGAUAGAAUCGGAAGAGUCUUCGGCCAUUUAACGAUUAAACGCAAAUGGAAACAGAGUAUACAAAUGAAAUAAUACAUGCGCGCGAUGCCUCUUCUUAUUGAAACUCCUUAACUUGCCACGUAAGUUAUUUUGUUUAGGUUUUAAAUAUUCGUUUGACUUUUUGUGGAUUAAAUAAUUAAAAGAAAGAAAAAAUCAGCAGUUAGGACAAUUUCAAUGCAAAAGUUUUACUAACUCCGAAUUACAGUGGCGUAUGUAUUAACAAGGUUAGAAAAAGAGUCAUUUUAUCCCUAAUACUAGUAACUUAAGAUUCAAGGAACUGCUUUUUCAUGAUUAUUUUUUCCAAUGUUUGGUUAAUGUUUUCAAUUACCGGCGGCAAAAAAAUAUCUACCUUCUGAGGUCAACCAAGACAUUUUAAUCCCACUAUUCCAGGUGCGAUUCAAGUCUUUAUUAAUAUUUUAUAUGUAGGGGUUGAGAAAACUCGAUAAAAAAUAAACAUUCCUUGUUGUUGUUGACAAAAAAACACCUUUAUCAAAAAGAAUUUAAAAAUCGAUUUUAAAAUAUUUGAAUAAUUUUGAAAACACAACGUGGAUUGACGUUACUGUCGUUGAAUGCUAAGCAAUUAAUACUAUUCAUUAAGAUGGUUUAAGCUACAUUACUGGUUUUAGAUGGUAGUUAAUUUGGUUCAAAGGCUGGUCGAACAAAUUCAUUUAUCCAAUCACAAAAAAAAAAAAAAACACACACACACAAAAUGUGUUUUGGUUUAUUUAGUCGGGAGGGCAGCUCUAAUAGACGGAUCAUCAUUUUGUUAGUGUGACCUGCAGAUUUUUAUAGUAACGCCAAAUGCACCUAAAUAGACAUGAUGAUAUUUGGGUCUACAUCACUACAUGUAUAAAUUUGGGAUACAAACCACCGGUUACAAACCGUUUGCAAGAUUGGUUAUAAAUGGAGCGGUUUGUUUCUAAUUGCCUCUAGCUACCAAUCAAACCAAUUACAUAUUCCAGAAUAACGUUUAAAUUUGAGUGACAAAAACAAUAACAAUUAAAUCUAAAAUAGUAUUUGAACUUCAAUGUCAGCAUAAAAUAAUCACUUUCGGAUAGCUGGAUAGUUAACUAAAAUAGGGAUUUUAAUAAUUGAUGAAGUUAUGUUAUACUAAUCUAUUUGAAACUGGAUUCGUGGAUCCCAGUCAUUCGUGUGUGGAGUAAAAUCAUACUAGUAGCCCUUUUGGUGUUGAAAAAGCCAAAAUUUAAUCCUUACACGUGAACUUGUUCAAAAAAUGUCAUCUUAAAAAAAUUAUUAAUGAUAGAUACAAAGGCAAAAAACUCGACAAAGUAAACAUACUAAAAAAGAAAAACUCUUGCUCGUUCAUGGGUUCCAGUAUGUGAAUUAGUUGUAAUAGCUUUCGUAACGGUAUUUACUAUCUACAUAUUUACAUUUUAAUUUGAUAAAUUUUUGUCAAAAUUUUAAUGACUUUAUUGCACCAACUACUAGGAAGAAUUUGGGGACGUUCAUUUCAGAGAGAUCUUAGUAAAAAUGUUGCUCCUAUAUUUAUUGUAGCUGUCAUUUAAGAAGUCCAUUCUCUUCAUCAUGAUAGUAGAAAACACCUAAGAUGUUAUGAAACAAUAAUAACAACUUUUUGUAAGAACAAUGUUAUAAGAUACCUUUUAUCAAAAAAAAUUAUAAGAUAAAUCCAACCCUAGAGACAUAUUUGCUAUAUAUAUAACACCCAUAUUGUCAGGUAAUUUUGGUUGUAUCAUCCGGUCGUGGAGUUAUAUAGCCGACCAUAAAACUUGGCCAUUGAAUCAACCAUCAGAACGAUUUACCUAGCUGCCGAGUCAACCAUUUUUUAUUGUGAUUUAUCCAUGGGAGCAUCAAUUCAUUUGAGAAAAGAAUAUACAUCACCAUUAUAUUUUUAUUAUUGAUCUUCUCAUCGUUAUCGUCAUCACGAAUAACGUCUUUGCUUCAAAGAGACACCGUCUUAAUUCCACACCGUAAGGGUGUACGUACGUAAUCCAUCGUCCGUACCAUCAAAAACCAUACCCCCACCGUCACUCUUAAUCUAUGGUGUUUCUACUUCGUCAAACAUCAUCAUGGUUUUGAUUUCUUUUUUAUUAAAAAAUCGACGAAGCAAUGUUCUAGAAAAAUCCGUCACUAAGAAUUGGACGUAUCUUCUUCGUUUUCGUGAAAAGAGCAACAUAAAAAAAUAAUCUUACAACCAUUUCAUCAAUACUGAGGGAUUGGUUUAGCUAAUUUUUCAAAGUUGUUUUUCCUUUUUCUUUUUGUUGUCGGCUUAAGAAAGUUUAGAUUACGAAAGUACAUUAAAUUCUUUUUUUAUAAAACAAUAGUUUCAUCCAAACACAUCAUCAUUAAGAGAGCCGAAACGUCUUCAAGAACUCACACAAAAGGACAACAACAUAAACUAUGUAUUACAGAUUGCUUAUAACGAAAAUUUGCGUUAUCUAAAUUCAGUCCAUGUGAGUCCAACAAAAAAAUCAAUCAUUUCUACACUGGAAUCCACAAAUUUCUGAUUUGGGUUUACAUAUACAACCAAAGCUUCCACCUAAUAGGUAAACACACUUUACCAGUCGAUAAACCAGUAAGAUUCAAAUUUAUGCAUGGCUUCCCCACAUACAAGAAUAUAUGUAUAUGUGUAUAUGAAUAUUCUAAGUGGUCAUAUGGAAUCCAUAAAUCCAAAAAGAUUGGAAUAAAAAGAGUAAGAGUAACGCAGCGAAAAUCUGAUGUGUAAAAGAGAUGGUUUUGGAAGUUGUUGCAAUAGAAGCGUAUGAUAAGAAAAGAGACAUGCACUUGAGCUCUACCGAGAAGGAAGUAGGCGAGCCAUACGCAUCUGGAUGAUAUAUGAUUUCUCCUUGACCACAUUUGAAUUCUCCUAAACUCCAUUCCUAUAUAUUGUUUCAUAGAUUUAUCAAAAGAUAUGAUUACCAUACAGUUGAUUUGAUCAUAUCAUAUAUUAUUAACAAGUGACAUAUAAAUAGUGUUGAAGUGUUCAUACGAACCUCAAGCUGGCGACCAAAAGUGACAAGGAUAGUGUCGGGAUCAGCGUGGAAAGAAAGUGGGCCUUUUCCUGAGUUGAUACGGAACUCGCAGUUCUUGGCCGGAAGGUGAAGGCUGAGUGUGUAAUGAAGCAUUUCUUCUGUCUUUUCUUUAGGCAAAGGAGGGCUUUGCUCUGUGACGUUUUCAUGAUUGUACCUGUAAACGCUGAGCACAGAUUCUCCUCUUUGUAUUCUUUUAUCAGUCUGUCUCCUUGAGUUUUCUACCAUUAUUUGCCCUAGUUUCCUUGCUACCCCUUCAAGUUUAUCAGCUACAUUCUCCAUUUCUUGGCUGCAACAAAGAUCCAAAUAUUUUAUCCAAAAUCCUCAAAUCACUUCUUUAUUCAUAAUAACAUUCAAGUUUGUUAAAAAAAGUGUGGCCCAAUAACGGCCCAAUACCUGAAACAGCGGUACCUUUCCGGUCCGAUAUACUCGCGCGCCCAUUCCAUGCGCUCCUUCCACGACCGAACCCAAACGAUCUCGUCUCUGUUUCCGACAACACUCCGGCGAAACCCGGUGUCUCUUCCCUCUAAAACUCCGAAAACCCGACCCGAUUCCCUAACAAGAGACCUAAGCUCCUCGCUCGAUAUCCCAUGGUAGCUCACACGAAACGCCCCGAACUCCCUCGCCGAUCGCACCAGACGAUCCACCGAUCCUUCUCUCCUCGACGCCAAUAGCCGGAAAUCAAUCUCCGCCGGGAUCAGGUGGCGUGAACCGCAAGAUUCACCGCCCGAAUGAGAUUCAGGGAGCGUGAGCUCUGGAACCUGGAUCGAUCUCUCGAUGAUCUCGGUGAGGAUCUCGCUCGCAGCGGAGCGAGAUCCUCUGGCUCUAGGGAUCGGAGACGGAGGAGGUGGUGGUGGAGUCAAUGAAGAUACGUUCAAUUGGCUCCUGGUUCGCAUCAGAGCCAUCGGAGAGAGAAGAUGAUCCGACGUUUUCGGGCGGGUUUCCAAUUAAUAAAAUCCGCCCCAAGAAAAAAAUGGAAAGACUUUUUUGUUUUUCGAUUGUUAGAGAAGGCACAUUCCUUUGCGUAUUUCUUUUAUUUGUUUUGUAUUCAAUUUCUUGAGAAAGUGAGGGUCCAUUACUGAAUUCGAAUGUAAGAAAAAAUUAAUAUUUUAUUUACUUCGUGUUGUUUACAUGAUUGUGAUAUGGUUUAGUGAAUGAGAAUGAUGAUGAUCAUAUAUGGUUCUGUAACUUCAUUUGCGCUGUGAAGAUUCGAAUAUGUCAGAUGGAAAAGCUUUGAGAAAUGCAUUCAUAAGAUGUUUGCCACCUUGAGUUCUUGGGCCAUUAUAUGGGCCGCAUUGAAUGUUUUGAUCCGGUCCACAUGUUUAAGUGCUAAUCAAUCUCAAGGACAAGAUAGAUAGGCUUUUGAAAAUUUGCGAAGAGACAAAGGAUUUGAAUUUCCUCUUUUAAGGACCAUAGUCCUUAGGAAGAGGAAACGAAAAAGUUUGACAUAUGUGGACAUAAGGCAAAGAAGUAAAGGUUGUCCAGCACUGUAAUAAGACAUUAAGACCAUUGAAUAAUUGAGAAACCCUUAAUCACUUGGAUCCAAUAUUUUAGUAUCCCCUUUCAUAUAUAGCUUCCCUUUUAGUAUGUUAUUAUAGACUAUAUAUCAAGCCCCAUUAACUACAUGUGGACAUGAAUGAUCAAAUUUAGUUACCCCGAAGUUGACAUGAAUGAUCAAAUCUAACAGAAACAAGUACUAUAAAGUCUGUUAAUAAGAACCCCAAGCUAAUCGAAGGGUCGUUAUUAAUAAUACAUAUGUAUAUCUGUACCAAUUCGUUUUCUCGUGGCGUAAUUAAAAUAUAAAAAUUUGUACCAACCAAGUUUUUGAAUUCGUUUUUUUAAGUUUUAGAUAAGUGGACCAAACUAAGUUAACAAGUGUAAGUUCUACAUUUUAAGUAGCAAAAGAGAAAAGUUAGCAAGUGUGGUGUGUGUGCAUAAUUGAAGUUAAAGGGCAUGCAUGUGAUUAUACACUAAUUGGUUAGUCAUAGCAUCUUCCGUACGUUAGUAAGCUUCGCUUAUGGUCCCCAUUCGAAUACUCCUUUUAUAAUUUGCUCCACCAGAUUUUGGGCAAUAAGAUGACAAAUUUAACUAUCAAAACGAAGAAUAGGAAGCAGAACCAUUCGGAGGAUAAAUUUUAUUAAAAACAGUUGUUUAUUAUUACAAAUGAUAUAUACGUAGGUGUCGCAGUAGGAGACAUGGAACAAACACCGAAGCUGUCGCUAUCAAAGAAGAUGUAAUGGAAGUGUGAAAAUAGCUUAUAAACUCUUUUGCAUGGGUCGGAGAAGACAAUCACCACCUCCCCUAAUGAUUUUGUAUUUCGAAAAUCUUCACUUUAUCGAAGAAAUUUAUUUUUAUUAUAAGAAAAUUGCAGCUAAAAUGCCUUUAAGAUGACACCAUCAUUGAAUUUUUUUUUUCAGAAUCUUUUAUAUUAUCGAAGAAAUUGUUAUUUAAAAAUUGCAAAUUGCAAUUAAGUAGAAGCCCUUAAUUAAUCCCUUUCAACAACGUAUUAUGAUGUUUAAUUUUAUCCUUAUUGUUGAACCAACAAAAUACAAUUAUCCUUAUUCUAAAUUUUGGCUAAUGAUUCAAAAUUUCACAUUUUCUUAACUCUUGUGUUAAUAAAUUAGUAAUUAAUGCUAAGGGUGCAUCAUUUAUGCAUACAAAGAUAACUAUUUCAAUAUUUUCCGUAAGAAAAUAUUUUUGUGAACCAAACAAAAAAAAAUGUUGGGAAAGGAAUAGUGCUCAAUGUAGAAGAGCUAACGUACACUUGUCAAAACCUACGUGAAACCUUGUCUUUCUUUCAUUAUGUAAACCGUGGAAGCAUUUCAAACAGACACACACGGUAAUUCUGAUAUUAGCAAGCCUAAAAUAACUUGGAUGACCAGAUUUUAAAAAGUAAACCAUAUACUAAAAAGCAUGCAUAAGGAAGCUCAAUAAACAAGGAACAUAAAAUCAUAAACUAUAAAAAAAACAUGGAAAAAAAUAGCUCAAUACACAACGUGCAUGAGGUCGGAUAUUUUCUAGUAAAGAACAUGAUUUUUCAUUGCAUCAUUGGCUUUAAGUUUCCUUUCUAUAGUUUUCAAACAUCUCGGUUUGUUUGUUAAUGACACAUUUUUAUUUAUAGUUAAAUGUUAUGUUAGUGCCGACAGAAAAAAAUAUUACAACAACAGUACAUGAAGAUGUCGGUUGAAUGAUUAAAUUUUAUGUCAUUCUGAUGGACUGUCGAUCAACUUUCAGGUAACAUCGACAAAAAUUGUAUGUAUAUAAGAUUGAGUUUUCUAAAGAAAGAGGCUUGAAUCUAAAGUCCUAAACUUUUACAGGUUAUAAAACUUUAGAACGCAAAUAUAUUGUUCGAUAGUGUUUAUCGUUACCAGUUAAGCAUUAUUCCCAGACAAAAAAUAACUAACACUGUAAAAUAUGUUUUAGAAUGUGUUUUAAUUUCCUAUGCAUCGAACCAGGACAAAGCUUCUUCGCUGUCUACAUUUUGGGGGAUAAUAUAAGAAAAACAAAACUUCAAACAUGUUUAUCAAUAGACAAUUAUUAGGUUUAGAUUUUGUGUAGCAUAUGGGAAUUUUUAUCCAUUAUUUAUUAUACAAAUUUAGAUAUAGGGUGUAGCAAUAGAUAAUAAUAGUAAUAAUAAUAAUAAUAAUAAUAAUAAUAAUAGUAAUAAUAAUAAUAAUAAUAAUAAUAAUAAUAAUAAUUAUAAUAAUAAUAAUAAUAAUAAUAAUAAUAAUAAUCCUAAUCCUAAUCCUAACAAGGUUUCUGUGAAGAUGAUAGAGUUCCGAAAGCUUUUUUCUUCUCCACUUUCAUCAUGAGUGGCAUUCUCAUCUGAUAGACAAUACUUAAUCUUUUUAAUUACAUAUAUAUGGGAUAAUUGCUUUGUUGUCUUCUGUACAUUAUCCGAAUCAAACGUCUACCAAUUAAUAACCAGUUUACAUACAAACAUAUAUAUUAAACAUUACUAUUUCAUCCCUAACGAUACUUAGUAUAUCCAAGCACAUUAUAUUAGCACUGAAUCCCGGAUACUUUCUACAUAUUCUUAUCAUAAAACCUAGUUCCCGCUUUUACAACUAAUUUUGCAAAUACAGUAAAACCUCUAUAAAUUAAUACUCGAUAAAUUAAUAAUCACUAUAAAUUAAUAAAGUUUUUUGGUCCCGAGUUGGGACCAGUGUAAAAAUCCAUCAAAUUCGAUAAGAUAAUAAAAUAAUAAUUUUUUUGAAACUCCUAUGUAAAUAUAUAGUCCCAACAAAAAUAUAAAUUAAUAAUUAUAUAAAUAUAUAUACAAAUAAAUAUAUAUAUAAUAUUUUAAAAUAUGAAUAAUGUGUUUACUUUUACUUAAAGUUGAAAGUUUAUUGGUGUUCAUCUAUUUGUUUAUUACAUCUCUAUCUCUUAUUGUUUUUUUGAUAUUCAUUCAAAUUUGUGAAGAAUUUUUGAUAUAAUAAUUGGUUUUCUUACACGUAAAUAUCUAUAAAUGUAUUGUAAUAUUGUCUUCAAUUUCAUCUUUUUGAUAAUAGCCACAGUUUCUUAUAAAUUUUGAACUUCUAAACAUGUAUAUUUUUAAUAGAUAAAUUAAUAUUCUAUUAAAAACUAUUUUGUUAUGAUAACUAUAUUUAUUAAUCAUUAUUUUUAUUAAGUUAUUAUCUUAAGUUUUUAAAUACAACAUUAUUCAAUUUUUUUUUUAAAAGUUAUAGACAAAAACUAGAUUAUCUCUAUAAAUUAAUAAUUAUUAAUUUAUAGAUAAAUUAAUAUCACGAUAAAUUAAUAAAAUUUCAUGGUUCCAACAUUAUUAAUUUAUAGAGGUUUUACUGUAUUUCUAUAUUUAACAGACCAAGAACUUGAUGAAUGUGGCCGGUCAUGUUGACAUGGCUCUUUAUUUAUAAUAAUAAAUAAAGACGUUUUAUACAGAAGUUCUUUUUAUAAAUACCCUGUUUUUUUCAUACUUCAGUCAACGUUUUAAACAUAUAUAUAUAUAUAUAUGUAUAUAUAAAUUUUAAGUGAAAUUUUUAGUGUCUAAAAUAUGUAAAAGUCUAGGCCUACUAAAACGAAGGAAUUAAAUUAUACCAAAAUUUGUAAUAAGGUAAUACAUGAAACGAUAUUUAAACAUUAAUCUCAAGAGACAAAUAUAAUAAAAAGCAAGAGUCGGCAAAUAUUUUAUGCUCCGAAAGAAACUACCAAGGUGAACUCAUAUUUUAUUUGAUUUUUUUACUAUAAAUGUCCUUGCUAUAAGUGGAAAGUAAAGUAUAAAGGAAGCAGCUUAGUUAAUUAGUUUGGUCUAACAUAAAUAUGUGGAAAUAUAUUAAACACACACACACACACACACUCCUUUACUGUCUACAUAACUAAAAGGAACAUGUUCCAAAAGAAAUAAAAAGCCCUAUAUAUAUUCUAAACAAAUGGAAAAAGGCAAGUAGAAAUGUAAAAUAAUUGAGAUUAAUUAGAGUGGACUAAUGGAACUAUGGAAGUGUGCAUAAAUACGAGGGAAAGGAACUUAAACAUUCUUCUUCUCUCUAACACACACAGAGACACUCGUUCCCAAAUUCUCUGGCAAUCCUCUUUUCGUAGUUAUCAACAAGUCUUUUUUGCUAUAAGUGAAGGGUGAUAGUAUAUAUAAUAUAUACAGAUAUCUAUAUAUAUGAGCAUGUGCAGAUCCAACAUGAAAAGUAGUGAAUCUGGAGAGAUUAUAAACGGAGAAUGCGAUGUUUCAACGUCAGUCAAAGAAGAAACUAGCGCCGGCAGCUCCAAAUUCUCGGCUGGCCUCCGUCGCAUCCCUUUGAACGAGGCUUGUUUCUUUCUUAUUUUAUUUUCUUAUACAUUUUCUUUCACAAAAUAUCGAUGGCUUAGAGAACUUACUCCGCUUAUUGUUUGAUUUCAUAGUUUUGGUGAUUGAAGAUUCAGGAUCAUAUCCACAUAUUAUUGGAGACGUUUUCUACGUUUUUAUUUAUAUUUUUUUCGAUGUUUGACAAGCGAAUUAGUUAAUUUUGAUUGAUUAUAGUAUCAUUUUCAGUCACUUUUAUCGUAUUUUGGGAUGGUACGUAAUAUGGAAUUCUUGGAACUUGAUCUUAUACGUACUGGAUUGAAUGCUGCUUUGACUGUUUGUAUAGCUUCAUAAUGGAAAGUCAUGCAUCUCUUUUAAAACAAUCAAUUUGAACAAAACCCCUGUCACAAAAAAAAAAAUACAAUCAGUUUGAAGAAAACUUAAAAUAUUUAAACUUAGUUAACAAAUGUAGUUGGGAUCCAUUAUAUGUAACCAUUGUUUAUCUCUAUAUAUAACCAAAACUUGUAUUGUCUAUAUAUAUCUAAUGUUUGAAACUUUGAAUGUGUGUGUAUGUACAUAUUCAUAUGUAUGUAUAAAGCGUCAAUAGUAUGAUAUGUUAUCUCACUUUCAUGGACUGAGAUAGAUGGUGCUUUUAUUUUGGGUUGUACUUACACAAAAAGUUUCCUAUAUAUGCUUCCUCUUAUUAUGUACAUUUUCUAUUAGUCCUUUAGUUAGUACAAGUACUUUACUAUCUUAUUAAUUCCAUUUUUUAUAUAAUCAAGUCCUUCUUGAAAUACUUCAUCUAAUUCUUUUGUAAUCUAAAUAGUAGUUCAUGAUAUUUCUACAAUAUAUGCAUUUUUUUCUAGACCGAUUUUAUGUUGUUUGAAGCAUUGAUAUUUCUAUUGAAGUUCAUGAAAUGAAAGAUAUCUAAGCUGAUUGUGUUUUCCAAAAAGAAAAUAAAAAGGUGAGCUUUUUAGAACCCAUGAUGGUUUUUAUUUAAAAAGAUCCUAGAAUGUUGGUACAGUUAGCCAUUCGCUUUUCUGUCACUUGUGAAUUUGAUUAUUCAGUUCUAAAAGUUAUAGAAUUUAAACCUUUUUUCUCUUCUUUUUCAACUUUCUCAUCCCAGUCCCAGUGGCCAUGUGAUGCGACCAUCAUCCUCGUGCUUAGGAAUUGCUCUUAUAUUUAAAUUAUAUAAUAUUUUCUCGUAUUGUAUGUAAUAUCCUUCUGUUCGAUAAAAAAAAUGUUUUAAGAAUUUUUUUCUCUUACAAAAAAAAUCGUUUUAUAUUUCGUUUAACAACUAUACUAAUGAUUGAUAUACUAAGAGAUAGCUUAAUAAAUUUUAAAUAUGUGUGAAAUAUCAUAUUGAACGAGGCUUAUAUUGGAAGUGAAAACGUAUUAAAACCAAAUCGCCUACAUAUAUUCUAGUUUUUUUUUCCAUAGAUAUAUUAUUUUCCUGUGUUAUAUAUAAUAAACGAUUAAAGACUAGAUCAUAUAAAAGUAUUUUGUUAAAUGUCAAUAUACUUAGCUCGCGCGCUUCUUUCUUUAUAUGUAUAGUAUUUUCUUGAAUGCUUGUAACUAUAAGUCUAUAAGCCCAGUACAAUAAAAUAAUGAAUGCUUUUCUUGUUUAUUUACUUUUUUAUAUGUCUCGGAUUAAUAGUUAUUGACUUGAAAAACCUAACAUAUAUUUUUUCCUCCCAUGCAGGUGGGAGAGGAAAUGUCGUCGCUCACGAAAAUAGCAUGCCCGAUCGUGAUGACAUCACUCCUCAUUUUCUCGAGAUCAAUAAUCUCAAUGUGGUUCUUGAGCCACCUCGGAAAAGUCGAACUCGCUGGUGGUGCACUCGCCAUGGGCUUUGGAAACAUCACCGGAGUCUCCGUGCUCAAAGGCCUUUCCGUUGGUAUGGACCCAAUCUGUGGCCAAGCCUUCGGUGCCAAACGUUGGACCGUACUUAGCCACACGUUUCAGAAAAUGUUCUGUCUCUUGAUUGUCGUCUCUAUUCCAAUCUCCGUCACGUGGCUCAACAUCGAACCCAUUUUCCUCAGGUUGGGUCAAGACCCGGAUAUCACACGUGUCGCCAAAACAUACAUGGUCUUCUUCGUCCCUGAGCUCUUGGCUCAAGCCAUGCUUCACCCGCUACGAACGUUCCUUAGAACGCAAGGCCUAACGUCACCAUUAACGAUAUCAGCAAUCGUAUCCAUUCUUCUUCAUCCUCUCUUUAACUACGUCUUCGUCGUGCGUAUGCGUUUAGGCGUUAAGGGCGUUGCAAUCGCAAUGGCUUUUAACACAAUGAACAUCAACGUUGGACUACUCGUUUACACGUGUUAUUCGGAUUCUUUAAUCAAACCUUGGGAAGGGCUAGCUUUGCGGUCUCUUUUCCGUGGCUGGUGGCCGCUUCUUUCUCUAGCCGCACCAAGCGCAAUCUCUGUGUGUUUGGAGUAUUGGUGGUAUGAGAUAAUGCUUUUCCUUUGUGGGCUUCUUGGAAACCCUAAAGCGAGUGUGUCCGCCAUGGGAAUACUGAUUCAAACAACGGGACUACUCUACGUAGUCCCGUUUGCUAUAAGCUGCGCUAUUGCAACUCGUGUAGGCCAUGCUCUAGGAGGUGGGCAACCUACACGAGCUCAAUGUACGACCGUGAUUGGUUUGAUACUCGCAGUAGCUUACGGUUUAUCAGCUGCUGUUUUUGUGACCGCUCUUAGGUCGGUUUGGGGAAAGAUGUUCACGGACGAACCGGAGAUUCUAGGGUUGAUUUCGUCUGCGCUUCCGAUAUUAGGGCUUUGUGAGAUCGGAAACUCGCCGCAGACGGCUGCUUGCGGAGUCUUGACGGGCACGGCAAGGCCUAAAGAUGGGGCACGCGUUAACUUAUGUGCGUUUUACAUUGUGGGCUUGCCGGUGGCUGUUACAACCACGUUUGGGUUUAAAAUUGGGUUUCGUGGGCUAUGGUAUGGACUGUUGGCUGCGCAGAUUACAUGUUUAGUUAUGAUGCUUUAUACAUUGGUUCGUACGGAUUGGGCUCACCAGGUGAAGCGAGCAGAGGAACUUACUUCUGCUGCAGCCGACAAAAGUCAUUUGUCAUCGGACGAAGAAACCGUCCAAACUGAAGUAGGAGUUGAUGAUGAUGUUGGUAGCAAUGAUUUGGAGAUUGGUUUACUACAAAACACCAACUAAUCUAGAAAUUUUAAAAUUUUCAAUCGAUCAUUUUAAUGGAUUGUUAAUUACAUAGGAAUUAUUUUGUUUUGUUUUUUUUUGCAAACUAAAAUACCCAAGAUAGAUAUUUGCAUCGUAACAUUUGAUAGGUUUUAUAAUCUUGUAAAACCAGAACGUUUCAUUUUAAUGAAAUAUUUACAUUCUUAGCCAUAAAAAUAUAUAUUUGCAUCGGAAUUGCUAACCAAUAUUUUGGCAAAACAAUCAUAAGUACCUAUUAAUUGGUUGAGUUUAUAUUAUUAGCACAUGUAAUCUAGUACGUACAUGGGUUAUCUAAUAUUUUCCCCCAUGUUUCUUUAUGUAAGUCAGCACUCAGAACUCAGAAGUAUGCAGUGAAGAAACAGUUAUCAAAAUGGCUUUGCAUUUUGUAUAUAACUAGCAACAAGUUUGAUACGGCCCAAACUUGUGAAUAUACUUGCUCAUUCUUUGUUUUUUUUAAACUCUAAAUAUAUUGCUGAUUCUGAUCAAACUAAGCUAUUUAAAAAAGAAAAGAGAUUGUUUGUAAAGCUAAAACCAGAGAAAGGAAAAUUUAACUAACUAAUCAAAUAAAGAAAAUAGAAAAAUGGAACUCAAAUAGGUUUUGGGGAAACCAUGUCUAGAUUAGCUAAGAAGACUAAAACUUACGGGAAAAAGAUAUUGAAACCGAAAUCAAGGAAAAGGGGCCAUAGUGAGCCGAACUUUAACAGGAGCAAGUAGAGUAAUUUAUUGCCAAAUUUGAUUAUUUAUAUCCAGUUAAUUUUACUGUAUCUCAGUUCAAAAUCAAUUGACACAAAACGAUGGGUAUUUAUCACAAUGUAUUCAUAAAAUAUAUUGAAAUUUCUCACUUGCAUAGAUGUUAUCCGUAUCCCAUGUAUUUACCUCAUAUGGACUUUCUGGUCACACGUGUUGUGCGUACAUAUAAUAUGUUGCAUGUGGCAUUUCGGUGCCUAAUUCUCAAGGCAUAUAUCAUGUACCCCUUUAGGCACCGACAUUUUUGAAACAGUAAAUACAGUUUCUCGUGUUAAACAGUAAAUAAGAUUACACAUGAAUAAAAAAACUACAGAAGACUUAUUUUGACGUGUUCCUACCCAUACCCAUAUCCUACAGGGAACUUUUAACACAUUUUCUGACCGAAAGAACAAUCGUUCAAAAGUAUCGAGUUAAAGAUAAGAUUACAAAAUAUUUUUUUUCCUUUCAAAAUACUUAAUUUAAACGUAUCUAUUGAUUUAUUAUGUUAAAAAUUUAAGGAUAAAUAAACUAGUGAGGUUUUGCGUAAAAAAAAAUGGUGAGCUUUCGGUUUCAAAAAAGUCUCAAACUUGAAUAAGCAUAUAAUGCAUAUAUUAAUGCUGACAGAGCAAAUUCAUUAUUCUGCAGUAGGAUGGUAGAUAGAAAAAUUACACGACUCAAUUUCUUGGUGUGUAUUGAAUGAGAAUCGAUAAAAGUGACAUGUGUAUAUAAAUUAUAAAAUGCAUCAUUGCUAUUGGGGAAAAAAAUUCGAUUUAUUUAGCAACGAUAUAUGAUUUUGAAAAAGUUACAGUCUCAAAUUCGAUAUUUAAUAAAGCCAAUAAUUUUUCGUUGUUAAACGAUUUUCACGAAUCUACCAAUUUAUCCUGAAUUAAAAAUUUUAUAUGAUAGAAUAACUUCAUGUUAAUAUGUUAUGAUUGAAAGUUAUUGUAAUAUGUUAUCAUUCGAUUUUUUUUCCGGAAAAUUAAUUAGCAUUGUUUUGAGUCUUUUGACACACUGAAUUGUUUUCUUAUUAUGAAAGGCACAUACUUGUACAUCUAAAAUAAUAUAUUUCUAUCUAUAAAUACUUAUCAAAUGAAGCACUUAGUUUUACCGGGAUAAGACUAGAAUAGGCGACGGUCGAAGUGAUGGACUUGAAAAGCAAAGCAACCGACAAUGCAUGACCCCAUCCCACCCAUGUGUCAUGCAUUCAAUUUUUUUCACAUAACGACGAACCAUCUACAUACACUCUAUGGUGUUGGAGGGCAGCGAAAACCGACACCUUCUUGUGUAUAUCCUUACGGAGAAAUUUUCAGGGAAGCAAACAAAAGUUUUAAAUAAAAUAUUCAUGUACUAAUCAAAGUCAUACUCUUAAACCUAUAGAUAUCAUAAAAGGAGAAUUUUUUGUUUAGGUUUGUUCUCUUUAAUAAACUCAUCUUGGUUUCAAGCUUAAUUUCGUUCGUAAAUUGCUACGUUUUUUUGUUAAAGAUAGUAAAUUGUUACGUUAAAAGAUUCAGAUCGUCAGAUUUGGAUUUUCUUGUCAAAAAGUAGAUUUUAUUUUUCUUGUUCGUCAAUUGUUGGAUCGUAAGAUUAUCGUCUUCGCAUAAAAAAAAUGAUGACCAAUUUAAGUACGUAUUUGACAUAUGUGAUAUGUUUAAUCUAUACUUCAAUCAUUACCAAAUUUUAUGUAUUUUGUUGUACAUGUUUAAUCAUAUAUAUUUUUCUUACCUCUGGUAAAAUCAUUUUAGCUGAUACUAUAUACCGUGUCUACAAAAUCGAUGUACUUCAUGAUCAUUCUCAUUAUGUAGAAGAUAUUGAACACAUGAUGUUAAAAUAAAUAAUAUUUAAUGAAUUUUUUUUUUUUUUGCUAAAAUAAAGUUUAAUGAUAGUUCUAUGUAAAAUAUCUAUUUUGCGUAUCCAAUGUACACCUAUUUUCCUUAUUUGUUUUUUCGUACCACAUCUAUAGAAUUUAAAACUCCUAAGAAAUAUUGGAAAUUCAAAAACAAGUACGUUGGUUGUAGAACUUUUACAUAAAAAAAUAUAAAACUGAGCUAAAAAUGUCAAACAAAAUAGAUGAGAGGUCCUACAUAAUUAGGACCUCUGCAUUAAAUGAAAUCAACAACCAACCAACUACUCCUAUUCCUCUAAUCGCAUUCACAUUACAUUUCUCUAUAUAAAUACUCGCUCCCCAAACUCUCUUCAUCACUCAUCAUUACACACACAUCUCAUUUUGCAAACCAUCGAAAACAAACCCCUAGAACUAAGAGAGAAAAUGGCUGGUCUAAUGAAGUUGGCAUGCUUGGUCUUGGCUUGCAUGAUUGUGGCCGGUCCAAUCACAGCCAAAGCGGCUCUUAGCUGUGGAACCGUUAGUAGUAGCUUGGCACCGUGCAUUGGCUACUUGACCCAAGGUACGCCCCUUCCCUUAGCGUGCUGCGCCGGCGUUAAAAGACUAAACAGCAUGGCCCGUACAACCCCGGACCGUCAGCAAGCUUGCCGUUGCCUUGUUGGAGCCGCCAACGCCUUAGGUUCCGGUCUCAACACUGGCCGUGCAUCUGGACUUCCUAAGGCAUGUGGUGUCAAUAUUCCAUACGCAAUCAGCAAAAACACUAACUGCGCCAUGUAUGUGUUAAUCUCUCACUCUCUCUGAUACAUAUGAAAACUAAAGGUUUCUUGUUUUGUUACAAUACGAAUAUACGAUGUAACUAAUAUUAAAGUUAGUUUUUUUGACAAAAUGAAGAUUUGAGUUUGCUAUAAAACGGUUUCAUGUUUUACUAAAGUUUAUAAGUCUUCCCGGUUCAACCAUGUUCCAAUAUAAAAGUUGAAUUUUUAUACCGUUGCAACAAGUAUAUAUUAAAAGUUUAUUUUUUUGAGUGGAAAUUAGAGGUUUUUAUAUAGUAACGGUGUUAUGUUUAUUUGUAUGUGGUUGCAGCGUGCGUUAAAUGAGCGGCGGUCGGAUGAAGCUCUAGCGGAUGUUUCAAAUAUUAUAUGAGACUAUGAGAGAAUACUAAAUAAGAUGUAAUGUCUGUUUUUUUUUUGAGUUUUUAGUUUCCUGUCUUUUUUUCUUUUUUCUUUUAUGGUGGCGUUCCUAUUACUUGGUCGUCUGUACUAUGUUCGCAAUCAACGUUAUAUGAGUUUCAAAGUUCACAUUAUUUUAUAUUCUUACCAAAUCUUAGUUUAGUUUCAUCGAUAUGAAAAAUGAUCAUUAUACAUUAACAAUAUAUAUAUAUAUAUAUAUUGAUUUGCAUUACAGUUGGGAAGUAACGGAUAAUUUAAAUUUAAUUUUACAGCCAAAUAAAAUAACGGGACAUUCUCCAAAUUUGUACUAUUUACUUGUUUAGACUUAAGAUAAUCGAGAAAAUGAUGGAUCGCUAUAUGGAAUCGUGACAACUCUUGGAAAACCAGGACCCUAUCUUAUAAUGUGCCCAAAACUAGGGAUUUAUUUCAGUUUGACUUAAUUAAUUUUACAGAUUAGAUAAUGAUUUGGAUAUUGGACAAACCAAUAAAAUGAACAUAACGAAAUAAUAUUUCUAUCAAAAUUUGGUUAUCUUUUCAUCAUUGUUAGUUAUUAUUUUUUCUAAUUUAAUUUAAUUUAUAAUCUACCGUGUGAUGAAUUUUUUCUAAAGAAGAAAAAUCAAAAUUCUGUUAAACUCCAUACAGCUCCCAAAAGUCUAGGCCCAAUUCUGGUUGCUCUCUCAGUGUUGCUAAUUAACUACUUUUUUUUUUAACACAUCGAGGGAAACUCAAUUUUACAAUCAAAAUCAAACCAAUAAGUCUUAACCAUGAAAUAAUACCAAAGAUGAUGAAAUACAUUAGAGAAAAACCCAUAUAAGCUGCUAUUGUUGUAGAUGAAGUUUUUUUUGCAGAUUUAUUGGAGGCAACUGUGCGUUUGGGAAACAAAAUUUGGGAGGUGAGAAGAAACUCGCGUUGUGAUAAGAAAAUAGCGCAAUCACAUUUUGACGGAAAUUUACAAAAUCAUAGUUAUACCGGAAAAUCACCGACUGUUUGUUGAAUUAGUCCAAAGAGACUCAUGUUGGUUCAAGGUUUUUGUUUGUAUAGGUGGUUAUGUGAUAGAAAUAGUCGGAUUUAUAUUUCUGUUCUUCCGAAAUAACAUUUGUUGAUUUUUCUUUGUUGAUUAUUAGUCUAAUGUGUAUAAAAAAUGAUAAAGUUAAACAAAACGGGUAAAUUAUCGUUUUGCAUAAUUUUCUUACAUAUUUAUUUGAUCCACAGCGAAAAACGGUCUUGGGACAGCAGCUCUCAAGAUUAACAGCUACAGUUUGUAAAACAAAUGUAGACUUUGUUUGAGAAAGAGGAGUUUUUUAAAGUUUUUGAAACUCAUAUGUGUUUUUCUUGUUUUGUGAAGAUAUAAUUUGUGUGUACUUAACGCAUAUAUCUAGUCUUGUAUGAGUGAAUCAAAUAUUUAAAAUAAAGAUUGCAAUGUAAAUUUCUAGACUUAUAUACAUAGUGCAUACAUAUUUGUUGAAAAAUGAGAGCAUAAUAUAUGGUUUUAAUUAUAUUAAAUUUUCGUGUUGCGUGACUUGCGUUUCAUCUCAUUAAGAAAGUUUUUACGUAUUUUGUUGGAUCCGCUAGCUAAAUUAUUUUCAUUUGUUAAUCGGAUGUAAAAGAUAUUAGUCAGAUGAUGUUAAGUAAGAUACAAUAAGAAUAUAACAUUUAGUGAUAUUUCUACGUGAAAUGACUAUUUUCUUAUCCAUGUAUAGUUUUAACAUUCUUAAAAUGAAAAUGCAAGAGAGAUUACAUACGUCUUUUUGUGGGUGGGGGGGGGGGGGGGAAAAGAACUACGGUAAAAAAUGUAAGUAUUAUAAGUUUUCAGAAAAAUAAUAUGAUUGAAAUGUCAAACAAAAUACGUAGAUGAGAAAUGAGAGGUACUCACCACUCCUACAUAAUUAGGUACUGUACAUUAAAUGUAACCAACCACCAAUCAACUAAUCAUUUCCUCUAAAUCCCAUUCACAUUCACAACAUCAAAACUUUCUUUCUCUAUAUAAACACUCACUCCCUCAACUCUCUUCAUCACCCAAUAUCACUACACUACAUACAUCUGCUUCUUCAAACAACCAAAAAAAAAACUAUAUUUCCAAGAUAAAAAGAAAAUGGCUGGUCUAAUGAAGUUGGCAUUCCUGGUCUUGGCCUGCAUGAUUGUGGCCGGUCCAAUCACAGCCAAAGCGGCUCUGACCUGUGGCACCGUUACCAGCAACGUUGCAGCGUGCAUUGGCUACAUUACCCAAGGUGGGCCCGUUCCAGGAGCUUGCUGCUCAGGCAUUAAAAACCUUAACAGCAUGGCCCGUACAACCCCGGACCGUCAACAAGCUUGUCGUUGCCUUAAAACUGCCGCUAAUGCCUUGGGCCCAAAUCUCAACGCUGGCCGUGCAGCUGGACUUCCUAAGGCUUGUGGAGUCAAUGUUCCUUUCCCAAUCAGCACCAGCACCAACUGCAACAGGUAUAUGUCUGAAGAUCUCUCAUUCACUCUAUUUUCAUAUAAAUGCUAAAAAGUAUAUAUCAUAAAAAAGAUCAUGGGAAUUUUGUACGAAAUACAAAUAUUUUAAUGAAAAUUUCAGAGUUUUUCCCUCAUGUUUGAUGGAACUUUUGAGUUUUGUAUAUUGAUGCAACAAGUAUAUAUUAUAAGGUUUUUUUUAAGUUAAAUUUGAGGCUUUAAUAUUAACGUACGGUGUUAUGUUUGAUUGAAUAUGGUUGCAGCGUGAAAUGAGCGCGGGUUGGAUGAAAGCUUUAGCGGACGUUCCGAAUAUUACAAAAACGGAUGAGACAAUAUUAAAUAAGAUGUUCAAGUGACUGUUUUUAAUUUCCUGUAUUUUCUAUUAUGGCGAUCCUAUUAACUGGUCGUUUGUAGUAUGUUCUCAAGCAACGUUAUAUGAAUUUCGGAUUUGAAGUUUACGUUGUUCUAUUAUAUUCUUACUAAUGCUUAGAUUAGUUUCAUCCAUAUGAAAACAAUUCAUCAAUUUGCAUGAAAUAACAGAGUGCGGGGCAGGACAUAAUAAUGGAUGUUGGCAGAAAAAUAUCAAAUGUUAAUAUUAAAGUAUAACAUUUAACAGAGUGCGGGGGAGAACAUCAUCUCGUUCCGUGUUGUUCCAGAGCUAAUUAGUAUAACAAAAAUAUUAAAAUAACGGGACAGUCUUAUUAGUGGUAAAUGUAAUAAACUAUUGGUUUAUGCAUAAGAAACUUGAAAAAGAUAAAGAUAAAUUAUUGACGUACACGAACACGAGUAAGAAAAAAUAAAGAUAGUAAAGUGUUUGGUGUAUCUGCAUUUCUCCAUUACCUUACGAGGAAUUUUUGUUAAUUCUGCUUUAAAUGCUUGACUGUUUCUUCUGCAAGCUGUAAUAGUAAGUUAAUAUGGUUGUAGAUAUAUGGUCUGUUAACGUUUUGAUUUUAAUUUGGAUAAAAAUUGUAAUUUAAUCUAAUAUGAAUGGUUUGAUGAUAUUCAUUGUUUUUUAAUCUCCUUUUAAUAUUAGGGUCCCUUUGUUUUUACUCUCUUUAGUCCUUGUAGGUUCCAUAUUUAGGAGUUUUAGGAGUCCUAGAUUACUUUUUGCUUGCAUUUAGGAGUCCUAGAUUACUUUUACUUUUUGUGGAGAUUUAGGUCACAUUCGAUGAAAGGAGCAUUAGGAGACUUGGGGGGAGACAAUUGCAUCAAGGAGAAAGCAAAGAAGCAACGAGGAAACAAGGAGAAGAAAUAGUUGAUGGAAUAAAAUUAAAACUUAGAUAAAAAAUCUAGCGAAUUGUACAAGUGAAAACACCUAGUUUUCACUAAAAUAGGACUAGAAAUAGUAGUAUGGGGCGACGAUCUAAGACUCAAAGUGAUGGCCUUGAAACGUUGUUUAGGCAACUGACAGUGACUCAAUCCUACCCAUGUGUCGUGCCAUUCAAUAUUUGUUAUGUAUCAGUCAAUUUUUUCACAUAAUGACGAACCAUCUAAACUCUUUGGUGCGUGAGGGUAGAACAAACCGACAUCUUCUCGUGUGUAUCCGUACCUAGCAUUUAUUUAUGUGAAAACAACAUAUAAAUAUUUAUUAGAGUAUUAAGUGUACAUAUAUAAUAUAAUACCUUCUUCAUUAUUUUCAUUUAUAUAUAAGAAAUCACACGAAACAUGUAUUUCAAAACACAAAAACCUCCAAUAUAUAUUGUUGAAUUAAUGGAAAAGUUCACGCUAAUUUAUUUGCCAUAAAAAGGACGCUGAUAUCUUUUGUUUAUCAAUCAAAAGUUCGGAUUACCCUAUAAAAAUAUAUAAAAAUUAUGAAAUAAGAUGUUUGAAUGGCUGUUUAUUUAGAGGUUUUCAUUUCCUAUUUAAAAUUUUAUAUAUUUUUUUAUAUUAUGGCUAUCCUAUUAAUUGCCCGUCUGUACUACGUACAUCUAUGUUCACUAAUAUUCUGUAAUAGUCUUGCUAAAGCUAGUUUUGUUUCAUUAGUGUACAUUACAGUUGAGAAUUAACGAUACAUUUUAUUAAGAUUAUAGAAAAUAAAAUAACGGGACAUUUCUCCAAGUUUGUACUGUUUCAUUCUUUAGAUUACCAAGAACAUCGUGGAUUUUCUUCAUAGUUGACAGUUUUAUAUAUCAAAAAUUUGAAAGGUAUACACGUGUCCAAAUAAAACUAUAGGCUAUGAAAAUUAUUUGAAGUGUUUUGUGUAUCUGCAAUCCGCAUUUCUCCACCACCUUACAUGGAAUUUUGCAUUAAAUGCUUUACUCUGCAUCUGGAAGCCGUAACUAAUUAUUAUGGAUGGUAGAUAGAUGGUAGUUUCUUAGUAUAUACUAUUUAAAUUUAAUCCGACUAGAUAAAUAUAAAAUUUGCUGGAACUAUACCUAGGACUACCAAAAUUUCCGCAACUGUAGGUUUUUUUGUCAUCUCGACUUUAUUAUCACAGUGUCACUCUCACUCUUCUGCGAACAAAAAUUGUUGAACUUGAAAUGUUGACUCAAGGUUUUAGAACAAAAAUCGGGUUUUGUAGCUCACUAUAAGUUAAACCGGAUAAAGACGAUCGGUUUGGCUCGGUUUAGGAUUAAGAGGGCCUACUGUUGCAAACUUGCCAAAACUCAUCGAGAUAUUUGUUCAAAGCCCACUCGCUUUACUUAGGUAUUUCCAAAUGUUCCGACGUCGUUUUCACUCCAUUUUUUUUUGUUCUUCUUCUUGUGUUUGGUUAAGUCCUCUUGGAAAUUCCUUGCUUGCUUCGUAGUUGAAGCAUUCGGAACAACACAGCUCCUGAAUCCCUAAAGCAAAACUCUCUCUCUCCCUCUCUUCGUCGAGUACUCAUUUGAUCAGAGCUAUGAGUAUCCCAAUGGAGCUGAUGUCAAUCAGAAACCCUAAUUCGAGCUUGCUCCACCGAGCUCAUUCUCGUCCACCGGUCACGCUCUCUGCUCCACGCUCUCUCCGUUUCCAUGCCCUUCCUAGCCGUCGCCAUUUCAGUGGUCCUACGUUUUCUCCAGCUGCCGUUUCUUGUACAGGGCUACGUUUCGGCUUUAGCUCAGAGGUCAUGCUUGAUCGUUCCGUUGUUGCUUUCGCUGCAUCCCACGAGGAAUCGGUGAGUACUGGUUUUGCUUCAAAGCUUCUUAAUUCUGUGUUAAAUAUUCUUAAAGUUUAGAUUUUUAUUCUGUAAAUUGCUUGAUACUCGAAUGUCUGGAUUAUGUUUAGCAAUCAAGUUUAGGAAACGAAAGUAAUUGGACUUCGGGGUAUGAGUUGUUGCGGAUUGUGAAUUCACACAGUUUGCUCUUUUUCCUUAAAAAUGUGAAAUUUUCUUGAUUAAGCUAUCAUAUUUUGACAUGAGAGGUGCAAUUUGGAGUUUGAAAUCAGCAGUUUUGAUGCAUGUAUAUAUGUUUUUGACUAAAAUUGGCUAACUUUAUUGCCAAUAUUCGAACAGGAGCAAUCAGAUGUUGAGGUGGGGAAGGAGAAGAGUGAUAUAGAUUCUGAAGAUGAUACAUCUCAGGAAGCAUGGAAACAAACUCUUGCGUCUUUCAAAGAGCAGGUUUCAAAGAUGCAGAGCGUGUCAUCGGAGGCAUACACCGUAAACUCCCAAAAAGCAAUGACAAUCUUGAAAGAUACUUCUGAACAACUUAGGAUUCAAGCGGAGAAGGCGAAAGAAGAGUUGGGUACAAAAGCAAAAGAGGUUGGCGAGGAGAGUAGAGAAUAUAUUUUGAAAGCAGCAGAAGAAUCACCUUCAGAUGUGAAAGAGAUCGUCGAAGCAUUCGCCUCCACCGAGGAUCUGAAAGACGUUUCACGAACGCAAGAUUUUCAUGUUGGAAUACCCUAUGGUAAGCACGUUAUAUAUCGUGUUCCUUAUUUAAACUUUCAUGGUGAGUAAAAUCGGAUGAUAAAAAAAAAAUGUAUACUUUGCAGGUCUACUCCUGCUUGUGGGUGGUUUCAUUUCCUUUAUGGUAUCGGGAAGCAUUCCAGCCAUUAGGUUUGGGGUCAUUCUUGGUGGAGCUCUUUUUGCACUGAGCCUGGCAAGUCUAAAGUCUCAGAGGAAAGGAGAAUCAUCUACUAAGUUCUUCAAAGGACAGAUGGGUUAGUGAGCUGUUUCAUUUGUGUUGAUUCUUUCACAUAUCAUCAAAAAGCCAGUGUGAAUUUGUGUUUCUGAACCCCUUUGACAUGCCAAGUAGCUAACCAUGAAGGAAUUAGUUAAAGUUGCACUGUUGAUUUGUAUAGAACUGAGGCUUGUUUCAAGCGGUACUGGGACUUGUUCAACUAGUAUAUAUAUUGGGAUUUUAGUCAACAGAUUAUAUUUUCACCAAUGUGAUUUGUCAGAUGUGUAAAUCAAACUUGUUGACACUCAUUUAUUUCCAUGUUCUUAUGUUCAAUAGCUAUAGUGGCAAUCAUAUUUUUGAGAGAGUUGAAGCUGCUACUAUCUCAGGUAACGUGAUUAUAUUUCAAAAUGGUUCAUUUAUUUGAACAAUGGCUUUGAAUGAAACAUAAUACAGUCUUUCUUUCUAUUCCUACAGAGAUCUACGUUCCUGGGUUUUUUGACCACCCUUACGAGGUACAUACUAGAGACAAAUAUUCUUUUACAUUUGCAAUAUCAUAAAAGCAACACGAGCGAUAGAUAAUUAAUGAUGAUGUAGUCAUACUUUACACAUUUUACAUUCGUCCAUCAACAGAAGUUAGAUUCAUAUGUCCCACUGGGAAAGAAAACACACAUUGCAUAUAAAAGUUAAUUAGGAUUUACAUCAGAAAGAAGGCUUAAAUGUGUUGGAUUGCUGUUGCAGUGGUGGUGUGUUGGCAUUUUACGUGUACAAGAUGGUAGGCAAGAGAGAAAAGGGACCAAAGAUAGAAGAAGAUGGAGGAGAAGAUGAAUCAAGCGAUGGAUUUGUAAGAAGAGAAGGAUAGAAAAAUCAUGGAGGGUAACAUGAGCAUCAUAUUCUAUGUUAUUUUGAUGUCCAAACACAGGCCGUGUCUAUGUUAUGGAUUGGGAAACAUGACCAAGGACUUAAUUUUAAUAAAAUAUGUUUAAAAGCUUGUUUUUUUUCACAAAAUAUAUUCUACUAUAAUUUGAAGUUCACAUUUUUUUUUUCAUUCAUAAAAAACAUCAAAAAAACUAAUUGAUAAUGCUUGUAAAUUUAUAUUUUGUUAUACAUAUUUUCUUUCAACAAAUUGAUUAUGGCAGGAGCUAUUUAUGAUUUAGUGGUCCUUUUGUAUUAAAACUAAUUAGAUAAGAUGUUUAUGGAAAAUUUGUAUGUUGUUAUUUGUUAAUAGUGACCAUGAUUGUAUUUUUCAUUUUUUUUAAUUUUUAAUCAAACAUUUAAAAUACAAAUUAGUUUUUCUUUUAAAUGAAUAAACCAAAAAAAAUAAACAAAUUAAAAACUACAUCGUCAAAAGUUUACUACCAAAUUUAAUUCAAAAGUAAAUGAAAAACUUAAAUUGAAUUGAGAUCACCAUUUGACUAGUUCAUAUCUAAAUCUUAAAACUAGGAUAGUUUUGGUCUAGAUUAAUACAAUCUAAAAUAUAUAUUUAGUUAAAGUGAAUUUGACCAGUUUGUGAUGUUUUUUAUUUUGCUAAUAAUUAAUAUUUAGUAGCUUUGGUUAAGCAUAGGAAGAAAACCACAAAAAAUAGUUCACAAACUACAUUUGUGAAACUUUGAAGAGCUAUUGAGUUUUUCAUCUAACAAACAUCGAAAUUUGAUUACUACAAAAACUUAUUAAAUUUAUUUAUAGAUAGAUUUUCUUAUAUACCUAAACUAUAAAAUUGGAUAAACCAAACUAAUAUUCACACAUUAUACUAUUUUGCGUGUUGAUUUGGAUAAACCAAAUAUAUUUAGCAUACUUUUGAGUAUUUGAGUUCAUAAUAUUUUAGAAAGUCAAUAUUUUUACAUACUUAUUGUCUUUAUAUAGUUUAGUAAAAUUGGACAAAUGAUAAAAAUCUCAUGACCGAUUAUCGCACAAUCAUUUUGUUUUGUUUUUAGUUUUUUUAAAUUGACUGCCAUUGGUGUUUUAACAUUAAGUUUUUUUUUUGCUUAAAGUCUUUUUUUUUAGUCUAGGCACAUUGAAGUAUUUUUUUUAACAUUAAGUAUUUUUUGCUUAGAGUCUUUGUCCAAACACAUAGAAGUCUGUUUAAGUUGUGUACAAUUUUAGCGAUCUAAAAUUCUGUGUAAUUUGGAGUGGUGUUAGCCCGCCCAUCCGGAGAUGCUAUCAACAAUACAAAAAAUAACGCUUUGAAAUGUUAGCAACGCAGAUUAAAGGUGUAGGCAUUGGUUGAGACGUUAGUACUUGUGCAAAUAAUUCCUGAUCUUUUUCCAAUAUUUGGUUUUCGUCAAAGCUUCACCAUCCUCCAUAAGUCUUUUAACAUCCAAGUGUUAGUGUAAAGUGACUAGUGGCUACUCUAAUAGCCAAGAUUUUAGAUAAGAAAUUUGAAAUUUUUUGCAUAUUUGCUGUGUCAAGACAUAAAGCAUGGUUUUGGAGGCAAAAACUGAUUCAAACAUCCAUAAGAGUUCAAAGUUGGCAGGGCUAAAAGAUUUAUAUAAGAAGUGAUCAUACAGUUUGUUAAGGUUUCAAAUGUCCAUAUGAAUUCCACUAGUGUUGGGUUGGCUGUCCAGAGGCAUGUACUGCGCCAUGAUUGUCCGAAUCUCUGAGUCCAUGUAACUCUGUAAACAUGUAAUACGGUUCUUUUGGUUAUUCAAAAAUUAUUGACAUCUAGAUGAAUACAGAUGCCAAAAUCUUGAGAACUCUAAGAAACAGACAUUUACCCUGAUUCUGUACUUGUAGAUGGCAUAUCCUGUAAGAGUCGCAGCAGCUGAUGCAAGUAGGAGAAUCCACAGAAAGCUCCAGCUUAGUUUCAUCGCUCCGAAUUUUCCUGCUCAUCAAAGAAUUCAGGCUAUAGUGGGAGUUUUCAUAUUGAAUGGCAACAUUUCGAGGCCGCAUUUUAAAUAUGGAUUACCAAUGCAAGUAUCAUGCUCACGCAAGUAAAACAAACCCUUCCCGCAGCUGCAUUCAUAACUUCCCCAUGUGUUCUUGCAUUUACACUCAGGGCACUGGCAAGCCACUUUCUCUUUGCACUCAUCCACAUCUGCCAAUGCAGCCCAACAGAACAACCGAAAAAGAUGAUUGUGAGAUCGAUAUCUUUUACCAAGUUAGCUACUAAGUUACACACGCUUCACUAGUACCUUCACAGCUCUCUACUCCGUCGCCCUUGAACCCAGGCGGGCAUUUGCAUCCACUUGAAUGAUCAUCCUAGAGAAUCCAUUAAAGAAAAGAGUUUCUUUUACAUUCAAGAAAGUGGUUGUAAAGAUAUUAUUAGACGUUACUUACUUGGGAAUGACAUAGAUGUCAAAAUACUUACAAGGCAAGCAGAGUAUGUGUAGACACCUCGUGUUUCUCUCCAGCAUCCUCCAUUGUUGAUUCCACAGCGCAAAGCUCCAGAGGCUGUCCACACGUACGAACCGGAAGCAGAAAAAUUCUAUUAAAAAAGUUGCGUAUUCUAUUCUACUGAAUCACAUAGAUUUUAACUUAGGAAGACCAGUCAAAAGUUACAAAUAGCAGCAAUGCCAAAAUGUCUCAAACCUCACUGAGUAAACAGAGUUUACCUUUGCAAUGAGUGUAACCAUCACCAACAAAUUUGACACCUUGAACAGUAGGGCACUCACACAGUCUUCCCCUGAAAGUAUCCUAAAAUACCAUUUCAGAACAAAGCAAGAGCAAUCAGAUUCAGCACCAACAAUAAAACAAAAAAAAAGAAGCAAAAAAAGAAGAGAAGUUCAAGCCCAAGUGGAUACCAGGCAUGCAGUAAUGUUAGCAGCUUUGUCUUGCCAGCACCCACCAUUGUUUUCUAAACACUCAUUGGUGUUUUGAUCUGCAAACAUAUAACAAACAGCCAAACAAAUAAAAAAAACCAAGUUAUUGAAAAUCUAAAUAACAAUGUUUCACGAUAAUCUUUCAGAGAAAUGUUUCAGGGUAAAUAAUAAUGUGACCUUCAGUUAGACAUAUUGCUGGUUCUGUUGUCUCUUGAAACCCCGCACAUAAAGCUUUGAGCACUGCUCCUUUUUCCAACUUACCUUAAACCACCGACAAAAAUCGAAUCAGAAACAGUAAAAUAGGGAAAAAAUGCUUUGGUUAUAACUACACUAAAUAUGGGUAUGAGUACCUCUGUAUUGCCUGUUGUUGACCACAAGUGUUGGGAGGAUAGUCACGUCUCCACGGGAAUCUUUGCCUACCUGAAUUAGACUUGUUUCAGAACACUUAAUGAAGAGGCUAAUAUAUUUCAAUAAGCUCCACAUUAGUUAUGAGUCAAUUGUCUCCCAAAAUAAAGACAAACCUGUGACUCCUGCUCUGCUUUAAGAACUGGAUUCUCCACAUCUGCCUCAGGGUCUCCAAUACACUCGUCUACCUUCUUGAGAUCAAUGCCUUAAACCACAUCACAGAAACAAAAUGUAUAAUCAGCUUAUUAGUUGGAAAUAAUAUAGGGCAAAAAACUCAUAAGCUAAUGAAAGCAAUACACUCACCAAGUGACUUGAUAACUUCAUCUGCGCAUUCCUUUGUGUACUUGUUAUCUUUCAUGGGACACCUUACAGAAAAGUCAGUCACAUAGUCCCACCAGAUCCAUGGCUUACCGGUCUCAUUAACCACUCUAUAAACACAAGCGUGGCGUAAAUUCUGAACAACAACAUCUUUUCCAUCGUAACCUCUACUAAAAUCCUGCUCAGGAUCCGGAGCACAGUACCUUCCAUGAUUGAUACACUGAGACUUGCACUGUUUACUCAACCGAAAAGCCUUGGGGCAAUACCAAGUGAUGAAAUGUGGUGUGAACUGAGUAUACCCUCCUUUCUCAAGAAUCUGAGCUGCUCCUUUAAAGUUCUUGAGAAACUCAAUCUGAGUAUCACAUUUCUUGCCGCACUCGUCGUUGCUAUCGGUCCAGAGCUCGUAUUCAACACGCUCGUCGGGAUGUGGAACAGACUCGGUCCAGUCUAGGUUCAUGUUAACCAUAUUACCAUCAGACAGAGCAGACUUUAUGCUGUCUCCCAGCGAUUUGCUUAUCAGAGCAGAAGGAAUGGUAAUCUUGUCGAGAUAAUCCGCAUCAGCAUUGUCUUCUUCAGGUGUAUCCAUUGUGAUUAAUGGCUCGAGUUUGUUAUCUGCCACCAGAAUCGCAGCUGCCCCUGCUUGCUGAGCGUUCCAUGCCUUCAAAGUGAAAUAGCAAUCUGUUCAUAGAGAAGUAAGAAGGAAACAAAUUUAAGAGUCUAAGCCACUCUACAAGCCACACAAGGAAAGAAAAAAAAAAAACAGAGUUGAAACAGAGUAACAAAACAGAGAUUUUGUAAUCAGCUCAUUAACAUAAAGCCUCGAACUAAUUAACUAACUGUUUAACCACUAGCAAACUCAGUUAAAACACUAAAAAUCAAAACUUUAUCAAGAAAGCUAGCAAAUUUAAUGUGACAUAGAAAAGAAGUAUGAACCUCCUCGAUCAAUAAGAAGGAAAGUGGGUAAUCUCCCAGGUGUGGAUUUGAAGGAGACACCGAAUUCGCUGAAGCUCUUACAAGCCUUGUGGUUCGAUACGGGAUGCACGACGGCUCCGACAAGUGUUCCACCGUAUUUUGGAAUUCCAAAAUUCCCAAUUGCACAUUCGUAAACACCUUUGAUGGUCUCUGGUGACGUCACUUUCAGAUUGUUCUUCUCCACCAGAAAUUUACCCAACGCAAGUUGCAAGAUGAGAACAAACGAGAGUGUUAUAACCCCAAACUUCUCCUUCAUGAUUUCUAAUCAAGCACCAACUAUAUAAGAGGCAAAACCACUGGAUCAAAUCAAGCUUGAUCUUUUGGCAAAGGAUCAAGCAAGGUUAGAAUUUUUAAUGGGUUCUUCAAACUAAAUGCAGUGAUGGGAAUAAGUUAAGCAGAAGAGACUUCUAAAUUAGUUAUUGUUCAUUGUAUAAAAGGAGAUUGUUGUUUUUUGUUGGAAAAAAAAAAAGUGUAUAGAGUUCAAAUUUUAGAAUGCAUGGGAAGUACGUGUUUCUCGUCGGUGUUUAGCACGAGGACGUCUAAGAGUGGGUCCUUGUCUUGCCUUCAUCUCUCACGUGUUGUCCAUUUUCAGAGUUUUUAUUUUGUUUUGCUAAAUAUUUUGGUGCAUCCAUUUAGAAAGUUUUUUUUUUGGUAAGAAAGGUUAUCCAUUUCAAAGUUCACUCUCUUUUCUUACGUCAACGUGAUAUAUGCCUAAAUUUGCGGUGUCUAUUUGUCACUCUAACUGGAAAAAUCCUUUCUAGAUAAUUGUUGAAACUAUAGAAGGAUUAUUGGAUCAAUUAUUCAAAGUUAUAUAUCUUUGACACCCUAACUCGAAAAAUCCUUUCUAAAUAUUUGUAGAAACUAUAGAAGGACGACUAACCCUUUUGACCAAAAAAAAAACAUAGAAGGAUUUAUUGGAUCAAUUAUUCAAAGAUUAUCUAUGCUUUUAAAUAGAAUGCCUUUUAUCAAAAAAAGAAGAAGUUAUUUAUACAUGAUCUAAAAUUAUUCAAAAAAAGUAAUCUAGAAUUGUCCAAAAUUAUCUAUGCUAAAAUCUUGAUAACAUUUAAAAAAGAGUUUUAUGUGUGUGGAUCCUUGUACAUUAUAUCAUUUAUGUUGUAAACAGACUAAAAAAUAGGAAAGUAUUAUUUCAUUUUUCAUAAAAGAAGGCAAAACAAACAAUAACAACUCUGGCCCAAUUAUGGCCUGAUUUGGCCCAUGCUUGAUGUAGUAAUCUCGGAGCAGAAGCGUGAAUCUAGUAGUAUCCAUAGACUCAGCCACGUGAUCGAAACCGUUGAUUCUCUAAGGUUUUAACUGAAACCGUUGAUCACAUCUCCUCAGUUAUAUAAAUAAAUAAGGAACACUGUUUCACUCCGUAAUCUCUAUCUUCUCCGUCGCGACCAAAACGAAGCUCCGCCGAACAAAUCUCGUAAUCUUUUCUAUCCUUCCUCCAUUCUUCUUCAAUCGCUACUUGAGCUUUUUUGGGGUUUUUUCUUUUUUUCUUUUUGUUCUGAGUCGGCUUCGAUCUGCCGGUGUUUUUGCUCUGUGGAGCUAGGGAUUCGAGGGACGAUGGAAACUGAAUUGAUUGAAUUGUUCGAGGGGGCAAAAAAGGCGGCCGAUGCGGCAGCUCUCGACGGUGUUACCUCCUCAGGUCCGGAGAUUUCUCAAUGUCUCGAUGCCCUGAAGCAACUCAAGAAGUUUCCUGUCACAUACGACACGCUCGUUGCGACUCAGGUUCGUUCCCGAUUCAUCUCUUUACGCUAGAAAAAUUUGUUAUUUUUCAUUUAAGGAAACGUCCUUAUUUCGUUUUCGACUGAUACGGUGUGUUGAUUGGAGGAUUUUAUGAGUGUUGCUUGCCUAAUCUCGUAGCAUUGACUUGUGUUAUUAGGGUUAUUUGAUUUUAUCUGAAAAAAAAAAAACUUGCAGAAAUUUGAAACGAUUUCACUUUAAUCAAGAGAUGAAGAAGCUUGAACAAAUUGCUUAGUGUUUUGUAUGAGACGUCCGACUAAAAUUAUUGGAACAAACCCUAAGAUUUCCCUUAUUUACAGAAUGAAUUAAGUCAUGCAUUUGAAAAUACAUCUUUUGUUCUGGUUAGGAGAUUGUAUUCAAGUGUGCGCUGAUUUUUUAUUCUUUACGCUACAAAAAUUUGUUAUUUUUCAUUAAGGAAACGUCCUUAUCUCGUUUUCGACUGAUACGGUGUGUUGAUUGGAGGAUUUUGAUGAGUGUUGCUUGCCUAAUCUCGUAGCAUUGACUUGUGUAAUUAGGGUUAUUCGAUUUCAUCUGAAAAAUAAAGAAAAAGACUUAUAGAAAUUUGAAACGAUUUCACUUUAAUCAAGAUAUGAAGAAGCAUGAACAAAUUGCUUAGUGUUUUGUAUGAGACGUCCGACUAAAAUUAUUGGAACAAACCCUUAAAAGAUUUCCCUAUUUACAGAAUGAUUUAAGUUAUUUGAAAAUACACCUUUUGUUCUAGUUAGGAGAUUGUAUUCAAGUGUGCGCUGAUUUUCAGUUAAGCUUAUUGUUGAUUCUCUAUCCCCUGGAAUGUUGAUCUUGUUUGUUCUGCUUUAGAGAAAGUUAUAUCCUUUUUCUUGCUUCCAGGUAGGGAAGAAGCUGAGGUCUCUUUCAAAACAUCCUGUUGAGGAAAUCAAAAGCGUAGCUACUGAUCUGCUUGAGAUAUGGAAGAAAGUUGUUAUUGAAGAGACAUCCAAGGCUAAGAAAAUCGGAAGCACAAACGGUGUCAAAUCUGAAACUGCCAAAGACGGUAAGAUAGAUAGGAAGGAUGUUGAGAGGACUUCCAAUCCCGCGCCGGUAAAAGUCCAGAAACUUCAAAGGGGUGAUUCAGCUAAGAGUAUCAAGGUAGAGAAAAAGGAACCAGACAACAAAGUCGGUGCAAAGAUAGAGAGAAAGGAACAAGACAACAAAGUCAAUACCGGAGCCAAGUUAGAUCAUCGUGGUCAGACUGUCAAGGAUGAAAAGGUCUCAAAGGAGAACCAAUCAAGUACGAAAGCUCCUGCUAAAUCACCUAAUGCUCCUCCAAAGCUAACUUCAAUGCUCAAAUGCAAUGAUCCCGUGCGUGACAAAAUCCGUGAGAUGCUUGUGGAGGCACUGUCAAGGGUUCAUGGAGAAUCUGAUGAGUACGAUAGAGAGAAAGUGAAUGGAUGUGAUCCAUUCCGCGUUGCUGUCUCAGUGGAAUCUCAUAUGUUUGAGAAAUUAGGCCGCUCAACCGGAGCUGAGAAGGCCAAGUACAGAUCUAUAAUGUUCAACCUGAGGGACAGUAACAACCCAGACUUAAGAAGGAGAGUUCUUACCGGGGAGGUGCCACCAGAGAAACUCAUCACACUGUCCGCUGAAGAAAUGGCAAGCGACAAGAGGAAACAAGAAAACAACCAGAUCAAAGAGAAAUUCCUGUUUAAUUGUGAGCAGGGUCCUGCACCAAAAGCAAGUACGGACCAGUUCAAGUGCGGGCGGUGUGGUCAGCGCAAAUGCACCUACUAUCAGAUGCAAACAAGGAGUGCUGAUGAGCCGAUGACGACUUAUGUUACAUGUGUUAACUGCAACAACCACUGGAAGUUCUGUUGAGGUGAGAUCUCUGUGUGUUCUUUUUAUUCCAUGAUACCAUGUUGUUAAGACAUAGAGGCUAUUUGAUUAAUUUAUCAAGAGCCUCAUGUCCAUUUGCCGGCAUUCUGAGAAUGUUCUGGCUCUGAUGUUUGUUUAAGCAUACCAUUUCAGUGUCCUAGAGAUUAGUUAGUAGGGGAGUUUACUAAUUUAGGUGUUUGUAGCUUUUAUUUCUUUUGCGUCUUUUAUUUCAGAAUGUCAAACUCAUCAACUUUCUUUCACAUUUUAUCAAAUUUUUGAUUUUAGACUUGUAUGUAUCUUUUUUUGUCUCUUCUUUUAUCAUAUUGAACGGUUGAACCUUUCACAGCCUCUAAUGUAUAUGUGUUAUGGAUCGAAAAGUUUCGUCUCCAAAGUAAGGGACCGAUGAAAAAACAGAGGAUAUUGUGGCAUAAAUAAGCUAAGUUCUUGUUGCAUUAAACAGAGGAUAUUGUGUCAAUGUGAACUCGAAUGUAUGUGUUAUUGACCGAAAAGUAGCAUCAAUAGAUAAGCUAAUUUCCUCGUUGCAUUAGACCAUUACUGUCAUUGUAAACUCGAACUUUAUUUGAACAAGACUUUUCUUUACAUUUUCUCUAUCAGACAGCCGAAGAUGUAAGUCGACAUGAAUUGCAAACAAUGAAUACAAUGACUUCUAACCGAAUAUUUCCCAUUCUUCAUCGUCCAAAUUUCUCUUCUUUCGGCUGAAUCUAUUAUUGCUUCUCCUUUGCCGUCUUCUAUCAGAUGAACCGUCAAGCUCUUCAACGUCAGAGUACUCACUACCAAACUGAGCAUCCCAAAGACCCUGUUUUCAAAAGUCUUUCUUCAAAUAAUCCAUUUAAGAGUAUAUGGAAAUUCUCAAACCAUGACAUUACAAGACAAAUACCUUUGUCAACCUCUGUUUUCUAGAAGCCGCAGCUUCGUGAACCACAACUAUGUCUUCGAAGACCUCGAUUAUGUCCUCGACAUGUAACCUGUAUGUACUCACCUGCAUCAUCACAGACACAGUUUAUCAUUCUAUACUUGGAUUAGAUGCUUGUAUCUCACAUCAACCAUAUUUGGGCUAAGUUACCCACCAAGCUUGAUGGUAUGAUGGUUACCCCGAACGAAUCAAGCUCAAGCGAUUCAACUAUACCCGAGUUAAUGUUAAAUGAGUAACCUCGAACCUGAAAUCAAUCCUUUGCUUUCAGCUAGUAAACAAGAUAUUGGGCAAAGAGACAGAUCUCAUCACUGAAUAAGAUCUAGGAAGAUUAUAAACACCUUUCCGAUGUUACGCCCUCCUGGUGUCACUACUCUGUAACCUACCUAAACAGAAAGUGAGAAAUCAAUCUUAGACUUGCUUAAAGGUAGGUGAUUCACAAGACAACGAACUAAAGAGACUCAAUUGAUCUAUACCAGUGUUUCAAGCCCAACCAUUUUAAAUUCAGUAUCCAUUACAGCCUCAUCUUCCACAAGCACAACAUCACCCACCUACAGAGAUGUUGACAUAAACUGAGAUGUGAACACAUUUCCAGAGGAAGCCAGUUCAAUGUAGUAGAAAGCAAAUGUAGUACCCGGACAAUGUCUUUGAGCAGGAAUCUCUCAGAUUCUCCAGAUAGCAAGCUGGGCUUAACAUCAACCACCAAAACCAACCACUGAAAAUCGACAAAACUAAUCGUGAAUGAUGGAGCUCCUAUUGUACAUAAACAGUCUCAGUAUAAGACUUGUUAGCUUCCCAAACUCGGCAAAAGAGACAAACUUUGAAACUCGCAAGUGAAAAAAAUUAUUGCUUGAAAGGUGAAUCGAUUCAACAAGAACUUACAGAGGAAGUGUCAACCCACAGCUGAGAGAUAAACCCUAAACUCAGAGCUGAUUGUAUACUAAUAACUUGCUUAGCAACAAGAUUCGAUCUCGUCGUCGUCUGUUUAAACCCUUUCGAGCCAGUGUUUAUCGGAUCGUUUUCACCUACUAGCCGAAUCAAAUCACCAUCUCGAGGAAACUCUGCACCAUCGUUUUCGAGGAAACCCGAAGGAGAAGAAUCCACUACAUCUUCUUUCAAGCAAGAGACGAAUCCGUCGCUCGAUUUCUCUUUAAAGCUGAAUUUCCCGAGAAAGGCUGAGUUUUUGGAAUCAACCGCACCAGAAUAAAAUCGAGAUCUUGUUUUUGACGAGGAAAGGUUUUUAAUCUCAUGGAUUGAGACGUGAAUCCUCCCGGAUGUAUUGAUGAUCCAAUUUUGAAUCCGUCUACAAUUCUCUGAACUGGGUCGAGCAUUGAGGACGGGAAAAGAAAGGUAAAAGGAAGAGGAGCAAUUGCACAUAGCUAGAGAAGAGCCCUAGAAUUCAGCACAGAAGAAGAGCCGCUUCAAGCUUUAGUUUUGAUGAAGACAACAUGCGAUGUUUGCAAAUGUAUCUGUUGUCGGAGUAGCCACAAAAAGGAUAAAGAUGAGAAAUAUUUGCAAAUUAUCUAAUUGUGGUUUUGCCAAUUCUGCUUCAAGUAUGUGCAGAUUUUUUGCUCAAGUGAGAAGGGUCCAAGAGAAAUGAGCUACAAUGUAGUCUUGAAAAGCUCCAUCUUUAAGAAAAAACGGUUCCGAUAAUUUCUCGAGGUUUCAGAGAACGACUUGAAUCGUGUCGUAGUUGCCCAUUCUAAACGUUUUUCCUUUUUUUUCCAUUUCUUGAGCUGAAAAGAUUAAUAAUCUCUGAAUUGUACUGAAACCAACGAUUAGAGAAUAAGAUGUACAAAAUGGAUUAACUUUCAUUUAAUUUUUUUUUUGUCUCAAUGAAAACGAGUUAACAUAAGGACAUGUUAAAAGAAAAAAAAACGAGUUAACAAAAAGUAAGAAAUUAAUUAGUAUCAAAUGACUCUUGUUCGCUCGGACUAAAGAAAAAAUUGACCUUUUUUUCUCUUUUGUCCUUUCCUCGGAAAAUCUCAAACGCUAAGUUUUCGUCUCGAAUUUGCGCAUUCGCCUCGUUUCACCAUCCUUUGUCGCAGAGUGAGCAUACCCAACACGCAUUUCUCAUUUCUCGCCUCAAAUUCGAUUUCUUUCUCUCUUUCUUAUUAAUAUUCUUCUCAAUGUGCAUUCAGAUCUGACUUCUUAAUUUUUGUUUUCCCGGAGUUUGAUGAGGGAAAGUUUAGAGUCGCUUGAUGAAUUUAUUUCAAUCCUUAAACUGAUUGCGUUUUGGAAGCUGGAUCAGGUAUGGAUGAUGAGAAGAAGAAAAAGCGAAACAAGAAGAAGAAGACCAAGCUCAAUAAUAAACGUGCAGACGACGCUAUAGCUGCCGGAGCCGUGACCUCGGAGGAUGGGAAUCAUAUCGGAGACGGUGACAUUGCUCAAAUUAGUCAAGUCCCAGAUUCCAAUGAAGUGCAACCGUGUCACCAGGUCAAUGUCGUCGUCGAAACUGUAAGUUUCAUAUAUUCUUAGAUCGAUGGAACAUCGCUAUAGAUUGCUUCUCAUUUUCAAUUAAACAUUCUGUGACUAUUGUCUUCUUUUGAUUUGAUUGGAGUUGAUACGACAUUUGGUAUAAUUUGAUUGACUUCUUAGUUUAUAUGUCAAUGCAGUUGGGUAUUGUACUAUUGUUAGACAUUAUAUAUACCACAUUGAAUGAUUGAUUGAUUGAAUGCAAUUUGUUUCAUUUGUUGAAUGGAUUCGUCACUCUUUGGGUGUUUGCUUAUUGUAACCAAUGUGUCUACUUGUAAAUUGUAAUCCAUCUUGGUUUGUAUAGAGAUGAUAGACAAGACAACAACAUAAAAUAUUGAAUGGGAUAGUGCAUGAGCUUCAUGAUCUGACACUGUUAAAUCUUCUUAUUUCAAGCAGGCAGAUGAAUCUGGUGUUGAGAACAAGCCUCUGACCAGUGAGGUCAGAUUUCUCAAUGUGUCUUGUAUCGUUAUUUGGUGCAAGUCUUUGCGUAAACUGGGGGUUUUGUUGAGUCUCUUCUGCAGAGUAGAUUACUGUCGUUUUGACCGGCUAAUGUAUAAGAGAAAGAUCUAAUAACAACAAGAACAAAAAUGCUUGUUAUCUUGAAGAGUCUCUUGUUUUCUUUUCUAUCUAUUCACUUGAAUCUCAGAACUAGUUUGUAAUGCUGUUGUAGGCGUUACUGGAAGAAACAAUCAAACAGUUACGUGAUGAAAAUGGAUCAUACCUUCAGAAAGAGGUGAUAUUCUCUUACCAAGCCUUUUUUCUUUUUAUUAGUUUUCCUAAGGAAACCUCUCCACCACCUGUCAUGGUUAUUUUUGUCUCGGUGGAAUAGUAAAAAUUGAAUUGCCAUGUCUUAAUAGGCUGGUUUUGAAGAAACUGUUAAACGCUUGGAAACUGAGAAUGAAGCUCACGUACAAAAAGAGGUUAGUGAAGAAUAGAGUAAAGCCCUUUUCACACUUUGUCGUUAUCCUGCUUCGUCUGCAAGCUGAAAGGUAAAAAUAUUAUGGUGUUUCACAGGCACUGCUAGAAGAAAGGCUUGUGCUUUUGAAAACAGAAAAUGAAGCUCACAUACAAAGUGAGGUUAGUGAAGAAAUAGCAUAUAGCCGUAUCGAUAGCUUGCUACUUUGCUCCAUUAUUUGCAAGCUGAAGGUCAAAAUAACAUGUUGUUUCAGGCACUUUUAGAAGAAAGGCUAUUGAAUUUGAGAACAGAGAAUGAAGCUCACAUACAAAAUGAGGUUGGUGAAGAAAUAGCAUAAAUCCGUAUUCGUAAAUUUGCUGUUUUGCUGCAUUAUCUGCGAGCUGAAGGUCAAAAUAACGUGGUUUUUCACAGUCACUGUUAGAAGAAAGGCUCUUGCAUAUGAAAACUGAGAAUGAAGCUCACAAACAGAACGAGGUUAGUGAAGAAAAUAGCAUACAGUUGUGUGCAUAGCUUUGUUAUUUUGUUGGAUCAUCUGCAAGCUAGAGGUCAAAAUAACAUGGUGUUUCACAGGCACUUUUAGAAGAAAGGCUCUUGAAUUUGAAAACUGAAAAUGAUGCUUACAAACAGAACGAGGUUAGUGAUUAGUGAAGAAAAUUGCAUACAGCUGUGUGUAUAGCUCUGUUAUUUUGUUGAAUUAUCUGCAAGCGGAAGGUCAAAGUAACAUCGCGUUUACCCAGGAAAAGUUGGAGGAAAGACUUGUGCAGUAUAAAACAAAGAACGACAUGCUUGUUCGUGAAAUGGUGAGACAUCAUCAAAUCUGGGAGCGUUCUUUAGUACCUAUUGUUUCUCCUUUGUGUGAUCAUAUGCGAGUUACUUUUAUCUCUUCAACUUGGUUUGCUUCCUCCUAAUUUUCUCUUCGUAUGCAAUAGGAAUUGGAUCACCGGUAUUUAGCAUCAAAUCAGAAGAUGAAUGCUAUUAAGAGGGAUAAAUAUUACUACUCUCACAAGUUGAUAGAGAAUGAAAUUUGAUCUUGACUAACGUAAAAGAAAGUCAUGUUGUCAGGACAUAUCAGAUUGCUAUUAGAUGUCACGUUAGAUUUCAUAUGGAGGAACCUGUUAUAUGUAGUUCCUAAAGUUUAUAUAAAUUUGGCAGGCUAGUACAGAAGUCAAAAUGAGCCAAUUGCUAGACGAAAUAUCUACAUUCUCUCAGAAAGAGGUAUGUCUCCAUUCAUUGGAAGAUAACAGUUGCUUCUUCUUCUGUAACUGUUUAUGAUGCAUUCUCGUCGCAUAACCUUUGUCAAAAUUGCAUGAUGUCAAUCAGGCGAGUCUAGAAAAGAAAGUUCAACAACUUCAACAUGAUGAAGAAUCCUCGGUGGCUGUGGAGGUAACUCUAUCUGACACUAGAAAGCUUGAUACCCAUUCUUAAGUAAAAGUGUCUUAAGAGUUAGAAUAAGAUCGCCAUGGUUUACUCAUCAUAGACCUUCAAUCUUGCAGAAGUCAUCCCGAGAAAUGAUUUCUAGCCUGAACAUUGAAAUUGCAAGACUGCGAGCACAGGUAUGUGUUUCAUCUAUUAAUUUGAACUUUGAAUGAUUCUCUCAUUUCACGAGUGGUUCAUGAAUUGCAUAUGAGUGUGUUACUGUAGUCUCUUAGUGAAUGUUUACUGCUUUUACUCGUGUAAAACAGGAAGCCUUUAAGGAUAGUACUGCAUAGAUUUAGUCUGAUAUGAACAUUAAAACAAAGUUUGGCAGGUUAUGGAGUUGGAAGAAUCUAGGAGUAAGAUUCUGGAGCAGAAUCAGAGCCUGGUGGGAACUGUAUCCAAUCUCCAGGUCCAGCAUGAAAACCAUGAGAGUAACGCGAAGGUUAGGCUUUGAACACUCCCAGUAUGCAAGAUUCUAAAUUCUAAAACUUUAACGUAAGCCUUUCCAAUGAAGGUUUAGAAAUGUAUGAAACGGUUUCUAUUGGUUGAUAUAGGGUGCUUCUGAGGAAGAAUUAAACUCACAGAUUGAAGCAGCUUGUGCUCUAGUUGAAAAGCUUAUCACUGAAAAUGCUGAACUUGUUGAAAAGGUAACGUGUACUGCCAUAGAUCGUAUUGAGUUAUGUUGUUGUUGGGUGAUUGAAAGUCUCACUAGUUACAUAAUUAUGACUACAUUAUCAGGUGAACGAAUUGUAUAUUAAGCUAAACCAAUCACAGCAUGCUUAUCCUUCAUCGCCUGAGAGCCUAGCAAUUGAAGUACAGAAGUCUGAAUCAUUAGAAGAAAUACCAAUACACGACGAGUUGAUUAAUAACUCUAGAGGCGUGGAAACUGCAUUCGUAGAGAGAAACUUGUCAGAAGGCGAAACAGAAAAAACAGUGCCGGUUUCUCUGAAUCCGAAUGGAGAAAUAGAUGUGGAAUCGCAGGUUGUAGUAGCUGGAGAAGGAGAAGUUAGUGUUGGUGUGCCUCUGGUGGACGCUCCACUCAUUGGUGCUCCGUUCAGGCUCGUCUCUUUUGUAGCAAGAUACGUGAGUGGUGCAGAUUUGGCGGAAAAGAAAUAGUGUGUUUGUAAAAACCCAAAACAAUACAUUGGAAGGCAGAGAAGAUGUAUCACUGCGCUAUCUCUCUCACUGAGGAUCAUUGAUUAGCUUUUUCCACAACACUUACGAUACACAUGUUUUUUUUUUUGGGCAAAACAAUACACAAUUGUAAUUUUUUUGCUAGGAUAAUGAUGAUGGUGAUGAUGACGACAGAGUGCAUCAAGUUGUCCGUUGUGAUUCUGUUUUCCUCAUUUUUCUUUCUCGGCAUUAAAAAAAAAAACAUGAGUGUAAACAUCAUCUUUAGCCAUCUGAGCAAAGACAUGAAUCAUGGAAACAGCAAACUCAAUGAGCAUAUACCAAAUUAUGUUUGAAUCUAUCGUAAAUUCCAAGCUGAGAGAUACGCGUUAGACACAAAUUAUUACACAUAGAAGUCAAAUUAUUACGCAUAGAAAAAAAAAAUAUAUAUAUAAUUGCACAUAUAUAUAUAAGACAUGCAGACCGUGUGAGAGAUUUUGAGCUCGAUUUUGAUUUAUCGGUGAGUUAGUUAGGGUCGUUAGCUUCUUUUUGGUCACUUUUUUUUGUAAAACGGAGGGAACUUUAGUCAAAUCUGGAAUUAUGAGAAAAAUAUGGUAAUUUUGGAAAGUAAAAUGUAAGAGAUUUGUAAUCUAGGGUAUUUUCUAUCAUAUCUUCCCUCUUAAAAUCACAACAUGAAAUGAUGUGAACUCUUACUUUUUUAUAUAUUUGAGAACAUCUAUUUUUUUUUUUUUUAGAAGAUGAGAGCAUCUUCCAUAAUAGGCUUGGUUGGUUAUGUUAUCUUGCAAAACUUUGAUAUUAUUAUGUGGAAGUUGAUAAGAAUAUAUAAUUUAGCUAAGAACGGGGUUAACCCAAACUGGAGGAGCUUGGCUUACAAGAACAAUAUCCAAUUUCCUUUUCUUUUGUACAACGAGCCAAACAAUCCAAUUUUUCUAUUUAAAGAGAGAAGCAAAGAACCAAAAAAAAAAAGAAACUGAAACCGAGGAAAUGACUUCCUAAAAGCACAUAACCGGUUGAGUGGCGCAUUGCCAUAACGUGCUUACAAACACCGAUCGUGAGAUAUUAUACUCUUGGGAUUGGCAUAUAAGUGGCUCAAAAUGGGAACAUCGAUCCCUCAAACAAUUAAAGAAUUCUAAAGGGAUAGAAAAAGAAGGUGUUGCGAGUGGCAUUCAAAUCUAUGAAAAUUCAAAGGGAAAGAAAUACAUGAAAAUAUAUCAAAAGGAGCGUUCAUGAGAUGAGCUCAUUGGCUAUUCUUUUUUAUUUAUUUAUGGUUAAAGCAACAACUCUUAACGAAAUUGCCCAUUUAGUAGUAGUGUUGACAACUCUUACCUCCAUUAGUUGGUUUCCUUUACAUUUUCCAUUAGAUUACUACUUACGUGUCAUCCACUUUUCUGUUGACAAAUAUAUUAAUAACAAUCCAAUAUUGCUUUGUCAGCAUCCAAUCCAUUAUUUAGUCGGUCCAAUUUUUUUUCGUUGGUCUGUGCCCAAUCCUUAAUUUUUUUUGAUAAUUACAAGACCUUCCUUGGCCCUAGCUAAGAAACUAUGUGUAUUGAAUAGGGAGACUUACAAGUUAAACAAGUUAAAACAAAACUAGAUUACCAUUAAAAAUAUUGCAGAGCUUAUCUCAAAAAAACCUCAAAUAUUGAAACCCUAAAAUUUUAGUACAAUUGACGAUGCAUGGAAAGUGCUUUCAAGUAGGUGUAUCAAAAAUAUAGAAAUAUAUAUAUAUGUAUGUAUAUUAUGUGGAAAGGAAAGACUAGUGAGCUCCUCCACCUAGUGUUAUAUACUAACUAAAAGAUACCAUGCCACUUAGUAAUGCAAAUGAUGUAUCAUUAGUACUAUAUAGUAGAGGACGGUAUGGUAUCUAUGUGGAGGAAGUGUUUUACAAUAUAAAAAGUGGCGCAUAAUUUGUGUGCUAGUGAAUUUGUGCGCUUGCUGUGUUUGACCCCAUUUAUAAAAUUUAGAAAAUAUUAUUUUAUUAAAAUUUCUUCCUUUCUUUUUUUUUUUUGUUAAAAUUACUUUUGCAUACCUCAUAAGUCAUAAGUUCUUCAGAAAAUGGUGAGACAUAGUUGAUGAAACCAGUAUCUUCUACCUAACCAAAGCUCUUUAAAUAUCACUCUAUAACUAACAUCUCCUCUUACGACUACAAUACUAAUUAAGCCGAUCCACCACCACAUCAUAGGUAUUUUUGCUGAUCUUCUUCACUUUUCUAACAUCUCCUCCUGGCAUUCUUCUUUCAUUAUUGACCCAAUACAAGCAAACUCUCUUUCUCGAUCUCUCUCUCUUUUUAUUUUGUCAAAAGAAAGUCCUCUAAUUUUGCUGUCCACUACUUUAAUUUUGGUUAUUUCAUUCUUCAUGAAUGAAAUAAUGUGGUGAAUCACAAAUGGUUAAUAAAUUUGACUUUUCAGAUGAUUCAGAGAUUAGUCUAGUUUCGGUUUAAAAUAAGUAAGUAAACAUAGAUAGCGAGUCUGACGAGACUUUAGAAUAUGUUCUUCUAGCUUUUAAUUUGCUAUAGUCAUUAUAUAUCUUUGAUCUCCAUUUUUUUCUAGGAUUUCUUUCAGUUUUGAAAUUAGCUUAAUAAAUGUAAGUGUUUGAAUUAGAAAAGGAUGCGGAAGAGAGAAAGGUUUUAUUUUCCUUCCUCAAGAAAUCAUUGUUCACUGGUCACUGGUCACUAGCUAGAGUUGCCAAUAAGCAUUUUUAUGAUCUCAAUCUAAUUUUGCAUUAAAUCUAAAGGAUAGAGAAAAGCAGAAGAAUCAAAAGCAAUGGAGAAGUACAAGAGAGAGACGUUGCUUCUCAUCUUUCUAACAAUCUCCUCGGUGGCAACGAGCACAAGUCCAGCU
rnacentral:lncRNA from 1 species